AAAAAAAAAUCUAUUUCUUGAACCUAUUCCAAUAGUUAAGUAAAAAUUAAAAAAAAUAAAUCUAUUUCUUGAACCUAUUCAAAUAGUUAUGACUAUUUGAACAAUUAUCUAUUUCAAAUAGUUAUGACCUUUUGUUUUAUCAUAAACCAAUUGUUUCUAUUCAUACAAGCAUAUUCGAAAUAAAAUAAUACUAAUUUAUUAAUAUUCCAAAAAUUAAUAAGAAAAAUAUUAAAAAAAUAAAUAUUUUUACUGAGCAAGUUAAAAUAGUUAUGACUGUUGAACAAUUAUGUUUUUCAAAUAGUUAUACUCUUUUGUUUUGUCAUAAAACAAUUGUUUCUAUUCAAACAAGUUUAUUCUAUAUAAAAUCAUAAUAAUUUAUUAAUAUUCUACAAUUUAAUUGGUAGGAGAUUUAAAAAAUAUAUCUAUUUACCAAACAAGUUCAAAGAGUUACAUCCACUUGAACAAUUAUUUAUAUCAAAUUGUUAUAACCUUUUGUUUUGUCAUAAAAAAUUAUUUCUGUUCAUACAUAUUUUGCAAUUUAAUAAAUAGAAGAUUUAAAAAAUAAAUUUUUUUACCAAACAAAUUCAAAUAGUCAUGUCCACUUAAACAAUUAUUUAUUUUAAAUUGUUAUGACUUUUUAUUUUGUCAUAAAAAAAUUAUUUCUGUUCAUACAGAAUUAUUGAAACAGUUCAAAUAAUUAUGGCUAUUUUAAUAAUUAUCUAUUUUAAAUCGUUAUUACCUUUCAUUUUGUCAUAAAACAUUUGUUUUUCAACAUACAAGCUUAUUUAAAAUAAAAUUGUUAGUGCCUUUCGUUUUGUCAUAAAACAAUUAUUUUUGAACAUACAAGUUUAUUUGAAAUAAAAUACUAUUAAUUUAUUAAUAUUUCAAGAAUUAAUAUAAGAUUCAAAAAAUAAAUCUAUUUACCGUAUAAGUUUAAAUAGCUAUGACUAUUUAAACAACUAUCUAUUUCAAAUUGUUAUAACCUUUUGUUCUAUCAUAAAACAAUUAUAUUUGUUCAUAUAAAUUUAUUCAAAAUAAAAUAACACUAAAUUAAUAAUAUUCCAAAAAUUCAUAACUAAGAGAUUUAAAAAAAUAAAUUUGUUUGUCGAACUAAUUCAAACAGUUAAGACUAUAUGAAUAUUUAUCUAUUUCAAAUUGUUAUGACCUUUUGUUUUGUUAUAAAAUAAUUAUUUCAACUCAUCCAAGCUUAUUCAUAAUAAAAUAAAACUAAUUUAUUAAUAUUUCAAAAUUUUAUAAGUAAGAGAUUUAAAAAAUAAAUUUAUUUAUAGAACUAAUUCAAAUAAUUAUAAUUAUUUGAACAAUUAUAUAUUUCAAAUUGUUAUAACCUUUUGUUCUGUCAUAAAAUAAUUAUUUCUGUUCAUACAAGCUUAUUUAGAAUAAAAUAAUACUAAUAUAAUAAUAUUUUGACAAUUAAUAACUAAGAGAUUUAAAAAAUAAAUUUGUUUGCCAAACCACUUCAAAUAAUUAAGGCUAUACGAACAAUUAUCUAUUUCAAAUAGAUAUGACAUUUUAUUUUAUUGUUAAAUAAUUUUUUCAACUCUAACUAACUCAUUUGGAAUAAAAUAAAUUGCAUUUAUUUAUAUUUCAAAAAUUAAUAAGUAAGAGAUUUAAAAAUAAUGUUGUUAGCCAAACCAAUUCAAAUAAUUAUGAAUAGUUGAAUAAUUAUCUAUUUUAAAUUGUUAUUACUUUUUGUUUUGUCAUAAAACAAAAGUUUUUGUUCGUAUAAAUUUGUUCAAAAUAAAAUAAUAUUAAUUUAUUAAUAUCUUGAAAAUUAAUAAAUAAGAGAUUUAAAAAAUAAAUCUGUUUGCCAAAUCAGUUCAAUUAGUUAUAACUAUUUGAACAAUUAUUUAUUUCAAAUUGUUAUGACCAUUUGUUUUAUCAUAAACAAUUGUUUUUGUUCAUAUGGUCUUAUUUGGAAUAAAGUAAUGCUAAUUUAAAAUUAAUAAGUAAUGGAUUUAGAAAAUGUAUCAAUUGGCCUAACCAGUGCAAAUAGUAAUGAUUGUUUGAACAAUUAUCUAAUUCAAUUCAUUAUGACCUUUUGUUUUGUUACAAAAAAUUUAUUUUUGUUCAUACAAGCUUAUUCGGAGUAAAAUAAUUAUAAUUUAUUAAUAUUUCAAAAAUUAAGAAGUAAGGGAUUUCAAAAAUGAAUCUAUUUAUCAAACAAGUUCAAAUAGUUAUGGUUAUUUUAACAAUUUUCUAUUUCAAAUUGCUAUAACUUUUUGUUUUGUCAUAAAACAAUUUUAUCUAUUCAUACAAGCUUAUUUCAAAUCUAUUUACUAAAUAAGUUCAAAUAGUUAUGAGUUAAGUUCAAAUAGUUAUGACUAUUUGAACAAUUAUUUAUUUUAAAUCAUUAUGACCUUUUGUUUUGUCAUAAAACAAUUAUUUUUUUUCAUAAAAGCUUAUUUGGAUUAAAAUAAUAUUAAUUUACUAAUAUUUUGACAAUUAAUAAAUAAAAGAUUUUUAAAAAAUAAAUAUGUUUAUCGAAUAAGUUUAAAUAGUAAUAACUAUUUGAAUAAUUAUCUAUUUCAAAUCAUUAUAAUCUUUUAUUUUGUCAUACAAAAUUGUAUCAAUUCAUAUAGGCUUAUUCAAAACAAAAUAAUACUAACUUAUUAAUAUUCCAAAAAUUAAUGAGUAAGAGAUUUAAAACAUAAAUAUAUUUACUGAACAAGUUCAAAUAAUUAUGACUAUUUAAACAAUUAUCUAUUUCAAAUCAUUAUGAUCUUUUGUUUUACCAUAAAAUAACUUUUUAUGUUUAUACAAGCUUAUUUUGAAUAAAAUAAUAUAAAUUUACUAAUAUUCCAAAGAUUAAUAUGUAAAAAUUUUAAAAAUAAAUAUGUUUUCUAAACACGUUCAAAAUAGUUAUGAUUAUUUGAACAAUUAUCUAUUUCAAAUUGUUAUGACCUUUUUUUUUAUCAUAAAUUAAUUGUUUCUGUUCAUAAAUGUUUUUCAAAAAUUAAUAACUAAAAGAUUUAAAAAAUAAAUCGAUUUACUGAGUGAGUUCAAAUUGUUGACUAUUUAAAUAAUUAUUUAUUUCAAAUCACUAUGAUCUUUUGUUUUGUCAUAAAACAAUAGUUUCUAUUCAUACAAGUUUAUUUAAAAUAAGAUAAUACUAAGUUAUUAAUAUUCUAAAAAUUAAUAAGUUUUAAAAUAAAUAUGUUUACUGAACAAGUUUAAAUGGUCAUAUCCAUUUGAACUAUUAUCUAUUUCAAAUCAUUAUGACAUUUUAUUUUGUCGUAAGACAAUUAUUUCCAUUCAUACAAGAUUAUUCAAAAAAAAUCCUAUUUCAUUAAUAUUUUGAAAAUUGAUAAGAGAUUCAAAAACACCCUAUAUGCAGGUUUGUGCUCCUAGUUGAAGAAGGGAUCAAUCACCCUAUAUAGGGGAUCAAUCACCCCCUUGAACCAAUCGAUCCCCUCAUGGAAGGGAUUGAUCAGGUCAUGAUUUUCAAAGGCUUAAAUGGCACCUAAACAUGAACCAAUCGAUCCCUUCAUGGAAGGGAUCGAUCAGGUCUAGGCAAAAUCACUCCAAUGACUUUUUCAUGCUUCCAAUGGGCAUUUUCUUCUUCUCCCAAGCUUUCCCAAUGACUAGUUCUUCAAUUUCUCUAUAUAUUGGUCACUCUAACACACCAAUAAGAUUGAUGAAGCAAGAGAGCAAGAGCCAACAAGUUAUAUUUUCAUUUUCUCAAAGAAUCAAGAGUUGUUAGAGCUUAAAAGUCUACAUCUUUGUAUUAGUUGUAUCCAAAUUAUUGUUGUUGUUCAUUCAUCAAAUUUCUUUAUACUUCAUUAGGCAAACACUUAGCCUUUGAGAGGUGUUUUAAGUUUGCAUUCUUAUUAAGUGAUUUUGUAAUCAAAAGGUGAGGUAUCCUCCUAAAUUUGUGAGAUUGAGUGGUUACUACUUAGCCUAGAAAGUAGAAAGUGUAAGGUUUCUAUCUUAAGCCUUAGAGAGAAAAGACAGGGUUGUAAUUUUAAUUUAAAAUUAACGGAUUGAAGCUUUGGUGUGGACAACCAAGAAGAGAGGAUGUAGGUGCCUUGUGGAGAAAGACCAAACAUCUAUAAAUCUUUAUGUUUGAUUUCUCUAUCCCUAUCUCUUUAUUUUUUAUUAUAGUUUAAAUUUGCUUAUAGCUAGUAAAUUCAUUAUUAUUUGCAUCAUGUUUUGAUAUUGGUUUUAAUUUUCAUUCAAUAAUAUUGAAAUCAUUUGUUAGGAAAGAAUUUGAAGAAAUCUAAUUCACCCCCCUCUUGGAUCACUAUUUCACCUAAAAAGCUAACUAUUAACAUUUCAAAAAUUAAUAAGAGAUUUAAAAAAUAAAUGUGUUUUUGAAUAGUAAAACUAUUAGAAUAAUUAUCUAUUUCAAAUCAUUUGACCUUUUUUUAGUUAUAAAAUAUUUGUUUCAUAUCAUAAAAGCUUAUUCGGAAUAAAAUAAUCCUAAUAUAUUAACAUGUGAAAAAUUAAUAAGUAAGAGAUUUGAAAAAGUAAAUUUGUUUACUGAAUAAGCUCAAAUAGUUAUGACUAUUUGAACAAUUACUUAUUUAAAAUUGUUAUGACCUUUUGUUUUUUAUAAAACAAUUGUUUCAGUUAAUACAAGCUUAUACGAAAAACUAAAUCUAUUUAUCAGACCAGUUCAAAUAGUUAUGACUAUUUGAACAAUUAUCUAUUUCAAAUCGAUAUGAUCUUUGUUUUGUUGUAAAACAAUUGUUUUUAUUCAUAUAAACUUAUUCGAAGUAAAAUAUUGCUAAACUAGUAAUAUUUUAAAAAUUAAUAAGUAAAAGAUUUAAAAAAUAAAUGUAUUUAUUGAAUUAGUCAAAUAGUUGAGAUUGUUAGAACAAUUAUCCAUUUCAAAUCGUUCUAACCUUUUGUUUAGUCAUAAAAUAAUUGUUUUAGUUCAUACAUACUUAUUAGAAAUAAACUAAUAAUAUUUUAUUAACAUUCAGAAAAUUAAUAAGCAAGGAAUUUAAAAAAAUAAAUUUGUUUACCGAAUAUGUUCAAAUAAUUAUGACUAUUUAAACAACUAUCUAUUUAAAAUUGUUAUGACCAUUUGUUUUAUCAUAAAAAAAUUGUUUCAUUUCAUAAAAGUUUAUCCAAAAUAAAAUAAUCUUACUUUAUUAAUAUUUCAAAAAUCAAGAAGUUAGAAAUUUAAAAAAUAAAUCAGUUUAUUGAAUCAAUUUAAAUAGUUAUGACAAUUUGAACAAUUAUCUUUUUUAAAUUGUUAUGAACUUUUGUUGUCAUAAAACAAUUGUUUUUCAUCAUGCAAGCCAAUCAGGAAAAAAUAAUACUAAUUUAUUAAUAUUUCAAAAAUUAAUAAGUAAGAGAUUAUUUGUUUAUCGAACCAGUUCAAAUAGUUAUGGUUAUUUGAACAAUUAUAAAUUUUAAGUCAUUCUAACAUUUUGUUGUCAUAAAAAAAUUAUUUAUGUUCACAUAAGCUUAUUCAAAAUAAAAUAAUGUUAAUCUAAUAAUAUCAUGAAAAUUAAUAACUAAGCGAUAUAAAAAAUAAAUUUGUUUAUUGAACUAGUUCAAAUAGUUAAGGCUAUAUAAAUAAUUAUCUAUUUCAAAUCAUUAUUUCUUUUUGUUUUGUUGUAAUCUAUCAAUAUUUCAAAAUUAACAUGAGAUUUAAAAAUUAAAUCUGAUUAUUAAACUAGUUCACAUUAUUAUGAUAUUUAAGUAGUUAUUUAUUUCAAAUUGUUAUGACUUUUUGUUCUGUUAUAAAACAAUAGUUUAUGUUUAUACAACUUUAUUUGGAUUAAAAUAAUACUAAUUUAUUAAAAUUUGAACAAUUAAUAAGUAAAAAUUUUAAAAAGUAAAGAUGUUUAUCAGACUAGAUCAAAUAGUCAUGACUAUUUCAAUAAAUAUCUAUUUCAAAUUGUUAUGACUUUUUUAUUUUGUCAUAAAAAAUUUAUUUCAAUCAAUCUAAAAUUAUUCUAAAUAAUAAUACUAUGCUAUUAAUAUUUUAAAAAAUUAAUAAUUAAAAAUUUUUUUAAAAAAAUCUGUUUACCAAACAAAUUUAAAUAAUCUAUUUGAAAUUGCUAUAACCUUUUGUUUUGUCAUAAAAUGAUUUUUUUGUUCAUACAAGCUUAUUUCAAAUAAAAUAAUAUAAAUUUAUUAAUAUUAAGACAAUUAAUAAGUAAAAGAUCUAAAAAAUAAAUAUGUUUAGCGAACAAAUUUAAAUCUUUAUGACUAUUUAAGCAAUUAUUUAUUUUAAAUUGCUAUGACUUUUUGUUUUGUCAUAAAUAAUUAUUUAUGUUCAUACAAGCUUAUUCGGAUUAAAAUAAUAUUAAUUUAUUAAUUUUUCUACAAAUAAUAAUUAAAAGAUUUAAAAAAUAAAUAUGUUUGUUAAACAAAUUCAAAUAGUCAUGACUAUUUAAAUAAUUAUUUAUUUCAAAUCAUUAUGACCUUUUGUUUUGUAAUAAAAUAAUUGUCUCUAUUCGUAUAAGCUUAUUUGAAAUAAAAUAAUACAAAUUUAUUAAUAUUCCAAAAAUUGAUAAGUAAGAGAAUUAAAAAAUGAAUAUGUUUACUGAAUAUGUUCAAAUAAUUAUGACUAUCUGAAAUAAUUAUCUAUUUCAAAACAUUAUGACCUUUUGUUGUGUCAUAAAACAAUUGGUCCUAUUCAUACAAGCUUAUUCGAAAUAAAAUAAUAUAAAUUUAUUAAUAUUUCAAAAAUUAAUAAGUAAAAGUUUAAAAAAUAAAUAUGUUUUCUAAAUACGUUCAAAUAGUUAUGACUAUUUGAACAAUUAUCUAUUUCAAAUCGUUAUGACUUUUUGUUUUGUCAUAAACCAUUUUUUUCUAUUCAUAAAAGCUUAUUCAGAAUAAAAUAAUACUAAUUUAUUAAAAUUCUAAAAAUUAAUAAGUAAAAGAUUUUAAAAAAAUCUAUUUAUCGAGUGAGUUUAAAUAGUUAUGACUAUUUGACCAAUUAUUUAUUUCAAAUUGUUAUAAUCUUUAAUUUUUUCAUAAAAGAAUUAUUUCUAUUCACACAAUUUUAUUCAAAAUAAAAUAAUACUAAUUUAUUAAUAUUCUCAAAAUUAAUAAGUUGGAGAUUUAAAAAAUAAAUCUAUUUACCAAACAAGUUCAAAUAGUCAUGUCCAUUUGAACUAUUAUCUAUUUCAAAUUAUUAUGACCUUUUGUUUUGUCAUAAAAUAAUUAUUUAUGUUCAUGCAAAAUUAUUCAAAUUAAAAUAAUAAUGAUCUAUUAAUAUUUUAAAAAUUAAUAAGAGAUUUAAAAACCAAAUCUAUUUUCCAAAAUAGUUCAAAUAGUUAUGACUAUUUGAACAAUUAUCUAUCUCAAAACAUUAUGAUCUUUAUUUUGUCAUAAAACAAUUGUUCCUUUUUAUACAAGCUUAUUUAGAUUAAAAUAAUUCUAAUUUAAUAAUACUAUUCUGAAUAAAAUAAUACUAAUAAAACAAUAAUGCCAAUAAAAUAAAACUAAUAGCCUUUUCUUUUUGUCAUAAAACAAUUAUAUAUUUCUAAUCAUUAUGAGGUUUUGUUUUAUCAUGAUAACUAUAUAAAACAAAUGAAUGAUUUCCACUUCAAUAAAAUGAAUGAAUUUUGCUUAGUUCUUAGCUAAAUAAGGAUCUUUUUACUCUUGAUAGAUUCAAUUUUCUAUUUUGUAGGAAUUCUUAAAGAAAAGAUUGAAUCUUGUUGAAUCUUAAAGAAUUUUAAUAAUUCUUGAUCAAUCUUGGAUGAUUUUUGAAGCAUUAGAAUGAAUCUUGGAUUCUUCUUGGUAUAUUCUUGUGAUUCUUGAGUUUUUUGGAAUUCUUGGAAACCUUGAAGUGGAAAAAUGUUCAAGAUUGGUUUUCCAAAUUUAAAAGAGUUCGAAUUGCUCAUUCUUGGUGAAAAAUUGAGAAAAUUCAUGCAAGAAUCAAGCUAGGCAUGUUCAAUUAAAAUGGAGAGUAGAAUUGUAAUUUCAAGUGAAUGCAAGUUCAUGGUAGCUUAUGUAGUGCACAAUGCAUGGGAUUACUAAUCAAUAACAUGGCAGCAAGUCUUUUCUUAUUGGUUAAGAAAGAUGACUUUAAGGCUUAUGUGGCAUAAUGAGGUGUCAAUUUUGUUCACAUUGGAAAAGACUAAACAGCCCUUGAUUUUUUCGACUAGGAUCUGGUAUUCCUAUUUCUAUUUGGAGUAGGAUUUGCAUAAUAUAAAAGAAGCAUUGACAAAGAUGGCAAAGCAAAAAUUUUUGUUAAAGAAAAACUCUAAAUUUUCUCCAAGAAAUCAAGCCAAAUUGUGGAAAGCAAGAAGGAGUUUCAAGAUGACCCAAAUUGAAGUUCUUUAUAGAAAGUUUGCACACUUAAAACCAAAUUAAGUUUUUGGUUUUGCAAGAUUCAAUUUUUCCAUCUAUUCUUUAAGUUGCUACAUGUUAAGAAAGAAAAGGAUUUAUGAUGUAGAAGAAAAGAUUGGGUCUAUAAGAGUUCAUUUUGAAGAGUUUUAUUUCAAGACACUUUUAAGAAACAUUUUUUUAUUCAAGAAAUCAAGUUCAAUCAAACCUAUGUGCUACUAAGGGAGAGUUCAAAUUUAGUCGAUUGUAAAUUGUGAUAAAAUCAGUUUCGAUUUUAUGGUUCUUGAUCUAUGGUUAUUGCAUUUUUGGUUUUUGCUUAAUAUUAGUUUUGAUCUAUCUUAAUUCUUAGCUUAAUUAUUGUGGUUCAACUAUUGUUUUCAUAUUAGUUUCUCAAUUGCAUGUUAAAAUCUUUUCAUAGUAUUCGGUUAUUUUUCUAAAGUUUAAAGAUUGAUUUAUGCUCGCAUGUUUUGCAUGUUUAGGCUUUAAUUUAGUUUAACUACAUGAUAUAUUGCAUAAUAAUUUUGGCUUACAUAAUUUUAGCUUUAAAAAUAGUUAUUGUUGAUUUAUUUAAGAUUGAUUUUUUAUUGCUUAAUUGUCUUUUGAUCCUAUUGCAUAUUCAAUUAUUGAUUAUUAAUUAGUUCUAACAUGAAUUGCAUUUGCGUAGGUUUAAUAGCAUUCAGUUUGCAUAAUUUGGUUGAAAUUGAAGUUGAUUUGAUUUGUUUAGAUAUUAUUGCAUGUUCUUAGGUUAAUUUGAGUUCAUAAUAGUUUGUUUGCAUGCUUUAGUAAUUGAUUAGGGUUAGAUACAUUGAGUUAAAGUUUACUUUGCAUUAAUCACUUGUAGUUUAGAUUUAAUUGGGUUAUAUUGGUUUCAGGUUUUGUUAAUUUGAUCAAGUUUUGCAUCUUCAAGCUUAAAUUAGUUGCUGUUAGUUUAAUUUUGCAUUACUCACAUUCGGUUUCCUUCAUUAGGGUUAUCUAAGUUUCAGUUUUGUUAGUUAGAUGCUAUUUAAUUUUGGUUUAGCUUAAUUUAAGUUAACUGGAUAUUAUUCCUUUUAUUCACUUGUUGUUUAGGGUUAAUUUCAUAUUGGUUCAUAUUAAUUGCAUGUUUUAAGUUUAAUUUGCAUAAUUUAGAUUCUGUUUUUUCAUACUUAUCUAAAUUUUCCAAAUAUAAGAUAGAGUGAAACAGUUUUGGUACUUGUUACUCUUAUAUUAGCAAUCUCAUUGGGAACAAUCUUUUCUUUACUACUUGUACGAUCUAUACACUUGCAGAUUGUCAAUCAUAUCACAAAACACUUAUUUCUAUACAUACAAGUUUACUCGAAAUAAAAGAAUACUAAUUUAUUAAAAAGGAAAAUUUUUUUAACAGUAACAUAAUACUAAACCCUAUAUCUAAUACCUAUAAAAUAAUACUAAUAUCUUUUUCUUUCAUCAUAAAAUAAUUAUAUAUUUCAAAUCAUUAUGAUUUUUUAUUUUGCCACAAAACAAUUAUUUCUUUACAUACAGGUUUAUCCAAAAUAAAAAAUAAUAUUUCAUAAAUAUUCCAAAAAUUAAUAACUAAAAGAUUUUAAAAAUAAAUCUUUUUACCAAACUAGUUCAAAUAGUCAUGACUAUUUGAACAAUUAUCUAUUCAAAUCAUUAUGAUAUUUUCUGUUUUUAUAAAUAAUUGUUUCUUUUUAUACAAGUUUGAUCAAAAUAAAAUAAUACUAAUUUAUUAAUAUUUCAAAAAUUAAUAAGUAAAAGAUUUAAAAAAUAAAUCUAUUCACCAAACAAGUUCAAAUAGUUUUGACUAUUUGAACAAUUAUCUAUUUCAAGUCGUUUUGACCUUUUGUUUUGUCACAAAAUAAUUAUUUUACUCAUACAAGCUUUUUCAAAAUAAAAGAAUAUUAAUUUAUUAAUAUUCAAAAAAUUAAUAUGCAAAAGAUUUUUAAAAUAAAUAUGUUUAUCAAAUAAGUUCAAAUAGUUAUGACAAUUUAAAAAUUAUCUAUUUCAAACUGCUAUGAUCUUUUGUUUUCUCAUAAAAUAAUUAUUUCUAUUUAUAUAAGCUUAUUCUAUAUAAAAUGAUAGUAAUUUACUAAUAUUUCAAAAAUUAAUAAGUAAAAUAUUUAAAAAAUAAAUAUCUUAUCCAAACAAAUUCAAAUAGUUAUUAUUAUUUAAAUACUUUUCUAUUUCAAAGCAUUAUGAUAUUUUGUUUUAUCACAAAAUAGUUGUUUUUGUUUAUAUAAGUUUAUUCGAAGUAAAAGAAUACUAAUUUAUUAAUAUUUUAAAAAUUAAUAAGAUUUAAAAAUUAAAUCUGUUUACCGAACAAGUUCAAAUAGUAAGGAUUGUUUGCAAAUUAUCUAUUUCAAAACGUUAUGAACUUUUUUUUAUAAUAAAACAAUUAUUUUAUUCAAACAAGCUUAUUCAAAAUAAAUAAUACUAAUUUAUUAAUAUCUCAAAAUUUAAUAAAUUAAAAAUUUUAAAAAUAAACCUGUUUACCGAAUAAGUUCAAAUAGUUAUUACUAUUUAAAUAAUUAUUUAUUUAAAAUAAUUAUUAUCUUUUCUUUUAUCAUAAAACAAUUGUUUUCAUUUAUUCAAAUUUAUUUGAAAUAAAAUAAUACUAAUAAAACAAUAAUAUGAAUAAAAUAAUACUAACAACUUUUUGGUUUGUCAUAAAACAAUUAUAUAUUUUAAAUUGUUAUAAGUUUUUGUUUUGUAACAAAACAAUUAUUUCUAUGUAUACAAACUUAUUCAAAAUAAAAUAAUACUAAUUUAUUAAUAUUUCAAACAUUAAGAAGUAAAAGAUUAAAAAAAUAUAUGUUUAUCAAAUAAGUUCAAAUAGUUAUAAUUAUAAGAAUAAUUAUCUAUUUCAAAUCGUUAUGACUUUUUAUUGUCAUAAAAUAGUUGUUUCUAUCCAUUGAAGCCUAUUCGAAAUAGAAUAAUACUAAGUUAUUAAUAUUUCAAAAAUUAAUAAAUAAAAGAUUCAAAAAAUAAAUCUAUAUGCUAAACGAGUUCAAAUGGUUACGACUAUUUAGACAAUUAUCUAUUUCAAUUCAUUAUGUCCUUUCAUUUGUCAUAAAAAAAUUAUUUUCAUUCAUACAAGUUUAUUCGCAUUAAAAUAAUAUUAAUUUAUUAAUAUUUCAAAAGUUAAUAAGUACAAAUUUAAAAACUAAAUAUGUUUCCUAAACAUAUUCAAAUAGUUAUGACUAUUUGAAUAAUUAUCUAUUUUGAGUCAUUAUGACAUUUUGUUUUGUUAUAAAACACAUGUUUCUUUUCAUACAAAUUUAUUUAGAAUAAAAUAUUACUAAUUUAUUAAUAUUUUGAAAAUUACUAAGUAAAAGAUUUAAAAAAUAACUUAUUACUGAACAAGUUUAAAUAGUUGUCUAUCUAAAAAUUAUUUAUUUUAAAACGUUGUGACUUUUAGUUUCGCCAUAAAAUAAUUGUUUCUGUUUAUAAAAGUUUAUUUUUGACUAAAAUAAUGCUAAUUUUUUAAAUUUCAAAAAUUAAUAAGCAAAAUAUUUAAAAUAUAGAUAUUCUUAUCAAACAAGUUUAAAUAGUUAUUACAAUUUGAAUAAUUAUCUCUUUAGAAUCAUUAUGAUAUUUUCUUUUGCCAUAAAAUAAUUGUUUUAGUUCAUAUAAGUUUAUUCAAAAUAAAAUAAUAUUAAUUUAUUAAUGUUCCAAAAAUUAAUAAAUAAAAGAUUUAAAAAAUAAAUCUAUUUAUCAAACAAGUUCAAAUAAUUUUGACUAUUUAGAAUUAUCUAUUCCAAAUCACUAUGAUAUUUUAUUUUUUUAUAAAACAAUUGUUUCUUUUUAUACAACUUUGAUCAAAAUAAUAAGUAAAAGAGUAAAAAUAAAUAAAUUUAUUUACCAAACAAGUUCAAACAAUUAUGAUUAUUUAAACAAUUAUCUAUUCAAAUCAUUAUGAUAUUUUCUUUUUUUAUAAAUAAUUGUUUCUUUUUAUACAAGUUUGAUCAAAAUAAAAUAAUACUAAUUUAUUAAUAUUUUAAAAAUUAAUAAGUAAAAGAUUUAAAAAAAUAAAUCUGUUCACCAAACAAGUUCAAAUAGUUUUGACUAUUUGAAUAAUUAUCUAUUUUAAGUCGUUUUGACCUUUUGUUUUGUCACAAAAUAAUUAUUUUUAUUCAUACAAGCUUAUUCAAAAUAAAACAAUAUUAAUUUAUUAAUAUUCAAAAAAUUAAUAUGCAAAAGAUUUUAAAAAUAAAUUUAUUUACCAAAUAAGUUCAAAUAGUUAUGACAAUUUAAAAAUUAUCUAUUUCAAACUGCUAUGAUCUUUUGUUUUCUCAUAAAAUAAUUAUUUCUAUUUAUAUAAGCUUAUUCUAUAUAAAAUAAUACUAAUUUAUUAAUAUUCCAAAAAUUAAUAAGUAAAAGAUUUAAAAAAUAAAUCUAUUUAUUAAACAAGUUCCAAUAAUUUUGAUUAUUUGAAAAUUUAUCUAUUUUAAAUUGGCAUGCCCUUUUAUUUUAUCAUGAAACAAUUGUUUCUAUUUAAAAAAAAAACCAAAAUAAAAUGUUAUAAAACAAAACAAAAUGUCAUAACAAUUUGAAAUUGAUAAUUGUUAAAAUAUUCAUAACUAUUUGAAUUUUUUUGAUAAAUAGAUUUAUCUUUUAAAUCUUUUAUUUAUUAGUUUUUUGAAUAUUAAUAAAUUAAUAAUAGUUUAUUUUGAAUAAACUUAUAUGAAUAGAAACAAUUAAUUUAUGACAAAACAAAAUGUCAUAAUUAUUUGAAAUAGAUAAUUGUUCAAAUAGUCAUAAAUAUUUGAAUUUGUACGGAAAACAAAUUUGUCUUUUAAAUCUUUUACUUUUUAAUUUUUUAAAUAUUAAUAAAUUAAUAUUAUUUUAUUCCAAAUAAAUUUGUAUGGAUAGAAACAAUUAUUUUUUGAUGAAAUAACAUGUCAUAAUUAUUUGAAAUAGACAAUAGUUCAAAUAAUUAUAAUUAUUUGAACUUUUUUGAUAAAAAGAUUUAUCUUUUAAACCUUUUAGUUAUUCAUUUUUGGAAUAAUAAAUUAAUAUUAUUUUAUUUCAAAUAAGCUUGUAUUAAUAGAAAUGACUAUUAUAUCACAAAACAAAAUAUCAUAAUUAUUUGAAAUAGAUAAUUCUUCAAAUAGCCAUAACUAUUUAAACUUAUUCGAAAAACAAAAUUAUCUUUUAAAUCAUUUACUUAUUAAUUUUUUUAGUAUUAAUAAACUAAUAUUACUUUAUUCUGAAUACAUUUGUAUGAAUAUAAACAAUUAUUCUAUGACAAAACAAAGGUCAUAAUUGUUUUAAAUAUAUAAUUGUUUAAAUAGUCAUAACUAUUUAAAUAUUUUGAUAAAUCUUUUACUUAGUAAUUUUUAAAAUAUUAAGAAAUUAAUAUUAUUUUAUUUUGGAUAAUCUUCCUUGAAUAGAAACAAUUGUUCUAUAACAAAGCAAAAGGUCAAAAUUAUUUCAAAUAUAUAACUAUUCAAAUAGUUUUAACUAUUUGAAAUUGUUCACUAAAUAGAUUUAUAUUUUAAAUUCUCUACUUAUUAAUUUUCAAAUAUUAAUAAAUUAAUACUAUUUUAUUUCGAAUAAGCUUGUAUAAAUAGAAACAAGUAUCUUAUUACAAAAUAAAAUGUCAUAAUGAUUUGAUAUAGAUAAUAAUUUUUUAUAUAUUAAUAAAUUAAUAUUAUUUUAUUCAAAAUAAGAUUUUAUAAUAGAAACCAUUGUUUUAUGAUACAACAAAAAGUCAUAAUGAUUUGAAAUAAAUAAUUAUUCAUAUAGUCAUAACUAUUUGAACUUGUUAAAUAAACAGAUGUAUCUUUUAAAUCCUUUACCUUCUAAUUUUCGUAAUAUUAAUAUAUUAACAUUAUUUCAAAAUAAGAUUUUAUAAUAGAAACCAUUGUUUUAUGACAUAACAAAAAGUCAUAAUGAUUUGAAUUAAAUAAUUAUUCAUAUAGUCAUAACUAUUUGAACUUGUUAAAUAAACAGAUGUAUCUUUUAAAUCCUUUACCUUCUAAUUUUCUUAAUAUUAAUAUAUUAACAUUAUUUUAUUUUGAAUAACUUUGUAUGAAUAGAUACAAUUGUUUAAUGACAAAACAAAAUAUUAUAAUUAUUUAAAAUAAAUAAUUGUUUAAAUAGUUACAACUAUUUCAACUUGGUCAAAAAACAUAUUUAUCUUUUAAAGCUUUUCGUUAUUAAUUUUUGAAAUAUUAAUAAAUUAAUAUUAGUUUAUUCCAAAUAAGAAUGCAUAAAAAGACACAAAUGUCCUAUAACAAAAUAAAAGGUUAUAAUUAUUUGAAAUGGAUAAUUGUUUAAAUAAUCAUAACUAUAUAAACUUGUUUAGUAAAAAUAUUUAUCCUUUAAAUCUUUUACUUAUUAAUUUCUGAAAUAUUAAUAAUUUAAUAUUAUUUUAUUCCAAGUAAACUUACAUGAACAGAAAUAAUUUUUUUUAAAACAAAACAAAAUUUCAUAAUUAUUUGAAAUAAAAAAUUGUUCAAGUAGUGAUAACUAUUUACACUUGUUCAGUAAAUAUAUUUAUCUUUUAAAUCUUUUAUUUUUUUAAUAUUUGUCAUAUUAACAAAUUAAUGUCAUUUUACUCACGAAUAAACUUCUAUGAACAAAAAUAAUUAUUUUAUGAUAAAAUAAAAGGUUGUUAUUAUUUGAAAUAGAUAAUUGUACAAAUAGUCAUAAUUAUUUGAACUUGUUCGGUAAGUAGAUUUAUCAUUUAAAUCUUAUUUUAUUAAUUUUAUUCAAAAUACUAAUAAGUUAAUAAUAUUUUAUUUCAAAUAAGCUUGCAUAAGUAGAAGCAGCUAUUUUAUGACAAAACAAAAAAUUGUAAUUAUAUGAAAUAGAUGAUUGUUCAAAUAGUGGUGACUAUUUGCACAUAUUCAGUAAAUAGAGUUAUCUUUUAAAUCUUUUACUUUUCAAUUUUCAUUAUAUUAAUAAAUUAUUGUAAUUUUAUUCUGAAUAAACUUGUAUUAAAAGAAAAGAUUGUUUUGUGAUAAAACAAAAUGUUAUAUUUUUUAAAAAAUAAAUAAUAUUUAAAUACUCAUAACUAUUUGAACUUGUUCGAUAAAAGAAUAAUUUUUUAAAUCUUUUACUUAUUAAUUUUUAGAAUAUUAAUAAAUUAAUAUUAUUUUAUUCUGAAUAAGCUUACAUGAACAAAAAUAAUUGUUUUAUAACAAAACCAAAGGUUAUAAUUAUUUGAAAUAGAUAAUUAUUCAAAUAGUCAUAAAUAUUUGAACUUGUUUGUUAAAAAUAUUAAUCUUUUAAUUCUUUUACUUAUUAACUUUUGAAAUAUUAAUAAAUUAAUAUUAUUUCAUUUCAAAUAAGCUUGCAUGAACAAAAAUAAUUGCUAUAUGACAAAACAAAUGUGACACUUAUUUGAAAUAUGUAAUUGUUAAAAUAACUAUAACUAUUUGAACUUGUUCGAAAAAUAUAUUUAUCUUAUAAAUCAUUUACUUAUUAAUUUUAGCUAUAUUAAUAAAUUAAUGUUAUUUUAUUUUAAAUAAGAUUGUCUGAAUAGAAACAAUUAUUCUCAACAAAAUAAAAGGACAUAAUUAUUUAAAAUAAAUAAUCAUUCAAAUAAUCACAACUAUUGAACUUAUUCAAUAAACAAAGUUAUUCUUUAAAUUUCUUACUUAUUAAUUUUCAGAACAUUAAUAUAUAAAUAUUAUCUUAUUCUAAAUAAGUUUGCAUGAAAUGAAACAACUAUUUUAUGAUAAAAUAAAAUGUUAUAAUUAUUUGAAAUAGAUAAUUAUUCAAAUAGUUAAAACUAUUUAAACUUGUUCGUUAAACAUAUUUAUCUUUUAAAUCUUUUACAUAUUAAUUUUAGAAUAUUAAUAAAUUAAUAUUAUUUUAUUCUAAAUAAUCUUGUAUGAAUAAAAACAAAUAUUUUAUCACAAAACAAAAGUAAAAAAUAUUUGAAAUAGUUAAUUAUUCAAAUAUCAUAACUACUUACACUUGCUCGGUAAACAGAUUUAUUAUUUAAGUAUGUUACUUAUUAAUUUUGAAAAUAUAGAAAAAUUAAUAUUAUUUUAUUCCAAAUAAGUUUGUAUGAAUACAAAACAAUUGUUUUAUGAUAAAACAAAAGGUCCUAAUUAUUUGAAAUAGAUAAUUGUUCACAUAGUUAUAACUAUUUGCAUUUGUUCAUUAAAUAGAUUUAUCAUUUAAAUCUUUUUUUAUUAAUUUUUGUAACAUUAAUAAAUUAAUAUUAUUUAAUUUCGAAUAAACUUGUAUGAAUAGAAACAAUUAUUUUAUGAGAAAACAAAAUGUCUUAAUCAUUUGAAAUAAAUCAUUGUUCAAAUCUUCAUAACUAUAUGAACUUGUUUAUCAAAUAGAUUUAUCUUUUAAAUUCUUUUCUUAUUAAUUUUUGUAAUAUCAAUCAAUUAACAUUGUUUUAUUCCAAAUAAAUUUAUAUAAACAAAAACAAUUAUUUUAUGACAAAAUAAAAUAUCAUAAUUAUUUAAAAUAAAUAAAUAUUUGAAUAGUUAUAACUAUUUAAACGUGUCCAGUAUACAGAUUUAUCUUUUAAAUAUUUUACUUAUUAAUAUUCUAAAUUUUAAUAAAUUAAUAUUAUUUUAUUUUGAAUAAGUCAAUUACAUAAAUAAUUAUUUUAUAAUAAAAAAGGCAUAAUUAUUUUAAAUAAAUAAUUAUUCUAAUAGUUAUAACUAUUUAAACUUGUUCAGUAAAUGAAUUUAUCGUUUAACUCUUUUUUUAUUAUUUUUUGGAAUAUUAUUAAAUUAAUACUUAAAAUUACUUAAAAUAAAUAAUUGUUCAAAUAUUCACAACUAUUUAAACUUGUUUAGUAAACAAGUGUAUCUUUUAAUUCCAUUUUUAAUUUUCAAAAUAUUAACAAAUUACUAUUAUUUUAUUUCGACUAAGUUUGUAUGAAUAAAAAUAUUGUUUUAUGACAAAACAAAAUGUUGUAACUAUUUGAAAUAUGUAAUUGUUCAAAUAAUAAUAACUACUUGACUUUGUACGGUAAAUAAAUUUAUCUUCUAAAUUGUUUAGUUAUUAAUUUUAAAAAUAUUAAUAAAUUAAUAUUACUUUCAUUCGAAAUAAACUUGUAUAAACAGAAACAAUUAUUCUAUGACAAAACAAAAGAUUAUUAUUAUUUGAAAAAAAUAACUAAUCAAAUAGUUAUAACUAUUUGAAUUUUUUCAAUAACUAGAUUUAUCUUUUAAAUCAUUUACCCGUUAAUUUUCAAAAUAUUAGUGUAUUAAAAUUUUUUUUCCAAUAAGCUUAUAUGAACAGAAACAAUUGUUUUGCAACAAAACAAGGGUCAAAUUAUUUAAAAUUGUUAAUUUAAAUAGUCAUAACUUUUUUAACUUAUUCGGUAAACAGAUUUAUUUUUAAAUACGCUACUUAUUAAUUUUUGAAAUAUUAAUAAUCAAUAUUAUUUUAUUUUAAAUAAAUUUACACGAACAUAAAUAAUUAUUUUAUAACAAAAUAAAAGGUUAUAAUUAUUUAAAAUAGAUAAUUGUUUAGAUAGUAACAAUUAUUUAACCUUGUUAUGUACACAGAUUAAUCUUCUAAAUCUUUUACUUAUUAAUUUUUAAAAUAUUAAUAAAUAAAUAUUUUUUAUUUGAAAUAAGUUUUUAUAAACAGAAAUAAUUGUUUCAUGACAAAAAAAAAGUGAUAAUAAUUUGAAAUAGAUAAAUAUUCUAUUUAAAUAGCCAUAAAUAUUUGAUCUUAUUCAGUAAAUAGAUUUAUCGCUUAAAUCUUUUACUUAUUAAUUUUUAAAAUUUUAAUAAACUAAUAUUAUUUUAUUUUGAAUAAACUUGUUUGAACAGAAACAUUAUUUUAUGAUAAAAUAUGAUGUCUUAAUUAUUUGAAAUAGAUAAUUAUUCAAAUAGUAAUAACUUUUUGAACUUGAUCGGUAAACAAAUUUAUAUUUUAAAUUUUUUACUUAUUAAUUUGAGGAAUAUUAUUAAUUAAUAUUACUUUAUUCUAAAUAAAUUUUAUAAAUAGAAACAAUUGUUAUAAGACAAAACAAAAGGUUAUAACUAUUUGAAAUAGUUAAUUAUGCAAAUAAUUACAAUUAUUUGAGUUUGUUUGCUAAAUAGAUUUAUCAUUUAAAUCUUUUACUUAUUAGUUUUUGAAAUAUUAAUAAAUUAAUGUUAUUUUAUUCUGAAUAAGCUUGGAUGAAUAGAAACAACUGUUCUAUGACAAAACCAAAGGACAUAACUAUUUGAAAUAGAUAAUUAGACAAAUACCCAAAACUAUUUGAACUUGUUUAGUAAAAAAAAUAUAUCUUUUAAAUCUUUUACUUAUUAAUUUUUGAAAUGUUAAUGAAUUAAUUUUUUUUUAAUAAGCUUGUAUGAAUAAAAACAAUUGCUUUAUAACAAAUUAAAAAGUUAUAAUUUUUUGAAAUAGGUAAUGUUACAAUAGUCAUAAUUAUCUGAAUUUGUUCGAUAAAUAAAUUUAUUUUUUAAAUCUUUUAGUUAUUAAAUUUUAAAAUAUUAAUAAAUUAAUAUUAUUAUAUUUUGAAUAUGCUUGUAAAAAUAGAAACAAUUGAUCUAUGUCAAAACAAAAGAUUAUAAUUAUUUGAAAUUGAUAAUUAUUAAAAUAGUCAUAGCUAUUUGAAUUUGUUCAAUACACAAAUUUAUCUUUUAAAUCUGUUACUGAUUAAUUUUUGCAAUAUUAGUAAACUAAUAUUAUCUCAUUCCAAAGAAGUUUGUAUGAAUAGAAACAAAUAUUUUACGACAAAACAACUAGUUCUAAUUAUUUGAAACAAAUAAUAUUCAAAUAGCAAUAACUAUUUUACCUUUUUCAAUAAAUAGUUUUAUCUUAUAAAUCUUUUACUUAUUAAUUUUUGGAAUAAUAAUAAAUGAAUAUUAUUUUAUUCUGAAAAAACAUGUAUAAGUAGAAAUAAUUAUUUUAUAACAAAACAAAAAGUGAUAACUAUUUGAAAUUGGUAAUUGUUCAAAUAGUUAUAACUAUUUCAACUUAUUUGAUAAACAAACUUAUAUUUUAAAUCAUUUACAUAUUAAUUUUCAAAAUAUUAAUAAAUUAACAUUAUUUUAUUUUGAAUAAGCUUGUAUAAACAAAAACAAUUUUUCUAUGAGAAAACAAAAUGCCAUAAUUAUUUGAAAUAGAUAAUUGUUCAAAUAGUCACAACUAUUUGAAUAAGUUUAGCAAACAUAUUUAUCAUUUAAAUCUUUUAGUUAUUAAAUUCUAAAAAUUAUUAUAUUAAUAUUAUUUUAUUUUGAAUAAACUUGUAUAAACAAAAAUAUUUGCUUUGUUACAAACAAAAGGUCAUAAUUAUUUAAAAUAGAUAUUGUUUAAAUAGUCACAACUAUUUGAACUUAUUAGAUAAGUAGAUUUAUAUUUAUAUUUUUUUACUUAUUAAUUUUUGAAAUAUUAAUAAAUUAAUAAUAUUUUAUUUCAAAAAAGCUGGAAUGAACAAAAACAGUUGUUACAUGAUAAAACUAAAGGUCCAAAUUAUUUGAAAUAGAUAAUUAGUUUAAUAUUUAAAGUUAUUUGAAUUUGUUCGGUAAUUAGAUUUAUUCUUUAAAUCUUUUACUUAUUAGUUUUUAAAAUAUUAAUGAAAUAAGAUUAUUUUAUUCCAAAUAAACUUGUAUGAAAAGAAAUAAUUAUUUUAUAACAAAACAAAAGUUUAUAAUUAUUUGAAAUAGAUAAUUAAUUAAAUAGUCAUAACUAUUUCAACCUUUUCAAUAAAUAGAUUUAUUUUUAAAUCCUUUACUUAAUAAUUUUCAGAAUAUUAAAAAAUUAAUAUUAUUUUAUUUUGAAUAAUCUCAUAUGAACUAUUUUUUUGAAUUUUUGGAAUAUUAAAAAAUUAAUAUUAUUUUAUUUCAAAUAAGCUUUUAUGAAAAAAAAAACUAGUGUUUUAAAAUAAAACAAUAGGUAAUAAUAAAUUAAAAUAGAUAAUUGCUCAAACAGUCAUAACUAUUUAAAUUUAUUCAGUAAAUAUUUUACUUGUUAAUUGUUGAAAUAUUAAUAUAUUACUAUUAUUUUAUUCCGAAUAAGCUUCUAUGAAUAGAAACAAUUGUUUUAUAAGUAAACAGAGGUCAUAACGAUUUAAAAUUGAUAUUUUUCUUAUAGUCAUAACUAUUUGAAUUUGUUCAUAAAACAGAUUUGUUUUUUAAAUCUCUUACUUUUUAAUUUUUGGAAUACUAAUAAAUUAGUAUUAUUUUAUUCUGAAUAAGCUUAUAUGAACAAAAACAAUUGCUUUAGUCCAAAAGAAAAGGUUAUAACGAUUUGAAGUAGUGUAUGAAUAGUCAUAACUAUUUAAAUUGUUUCCAUAAAUAAAUUUAUCUUUUAAAUAUCUUAUUUAUUAAUUUCCAAAAUAUUAAUAAAUUAAAAUUAUUUUAUUUGGAAUAAGCUUGUAUGAAUAGAAACAAUUGUCUUAAGACAAAACUAAAUGUCAAAACAAUUUAAAUAAAUAAUAGUUCAAAUAGUCAUAACCAUUUAACCUUGGUUGAUGAACAGAUUUAUUUUUAAAAUAUCUUAUUCAUUAAUUUUUAGAAUAUUAAUAGACUAGUAUUAUUUUAUUUUGAAUAAACUUUUACAAAAGAAACAAAUAUUUUAUGAGUAGACAAAGAUCAUAACAAUUUGAACUAGAUAUUGUUCAAAUAGUUAUAAUUAUUUGAACUUGUUGGGUAAAAAUUUUCAUUUUUUAAAUCUAUUACUAAUUAAUUUUUAAAAUAUUAAUAAAUUAGUAUUAUUUUAUUCCAAAUAAACUUAUAAACAAUUAUUUUAUGGCAAAACAAAAUGUCAUAAUGAUUUGAAGUAGUUAAUUAUUCAAAUUGUCAUAAUUGUUUCAAAUGUUUUGAUGAAUUAGUAUUUUUUAAAAUAUUUUAUUCAUUAAUUUUCAAAAUAUUAAUAAAUUAAUCUUAUAUUAUUCCACGUAAACUUGUAUGAAUAGGACGAAGUGUUUUAUGACAAAAUAAAGGUCAUAACAAUCUGAAAUAAAUAAUUUUUUAAAUAGUCAUAGCUAUUUGCACUUAUUUGGUAAACAUAUUAAUUUUAAUUUAUUCAGUAAAUAAAUUUAUUUUUUAAAUAUCUUACUUAUAAAAUUUUAAAAUAAUAAUGGAAAGUAUUAUUUUAUUUUGAAUAAGUUUGUAUGAAUAGAAACAAUUGUUUUAUAACAAAAAAAAAGGUCAAAAUGAUUUAAAAUGGAUAAUUGUUUAAAUAGUCAUAACCAUUUGAAUUGUUUCGAUAAACCGAUUUUUUUAAUCUCUUACUUAUUAAUUUUUGAAAAAGUAAUAAAUUAAAAUUAUUUUAUUUCGAAUAGACUUGUAUGAACAAAAACAUUUGUUUUAUUAUAAAACAAAAGGUAGUAACUAUUUAAAGUAGUUAAUUAUUAAGAUAGUCAUAAUUAUUUGAAUUGUUUCGCUAAAAAAAUUUAUUUUUUAAAUCUCUUACUUCUUAAUUUUUGAAAUAUUAAGUAUUAUUUUAUUUUGAAUAAGCUUGUAUAAACAAAAAUAAUUAUUUUAUGGUAAAACAAAAUGUCAUACUGAUUUAAAAUAGAUAAUUAUUCAAAUACUCAUAACUAUUUGAAUUUAUUUUGUAAACAUAUUUAUUUUUUAAAUAUUUAACUUAUUAAUUUUUGAAAUACUAAUAGAUUGGUAUUAUUCCAUUUUGAAUAAACUUGUAUAAAUAGAAACAAUUUAUUUUAUGAAUAAACAUAGGUUAUAAUGAUUUGAAAUAGAUGUUUGUUCAAAUAGUAAUAACCAUUUGAACAUUUUCAGUCAACAGAUUUAUUUUUUAAAUUUCUUAUUUAUUAAUUUUUGAAAUACUAAUAAACUAGUAUCAUUUUAUUUUGAACAGCUUGAAUGAAUAGAAACAACUAUUUUGUGACAAAACAAAAAGGUUAUAGCCAUUAUAAGUAGUUAACUAUACAAAUAGUCAUAACUAUUUGAACUAUUUUAGUAAACAGAUUUAUUUUUUAAAUCUCUUACUUAUUAAUUUUCAUAAUAUUAAUAAAUUAAUAUUAUUUUAUUUUGAAUAAACUUGUAUGAAUAGAAACAAUUGUUUCAUGACAAAACAAAAGGUCAUAACGAUUUGAAAUAAAUAAUUAUUCAAAUAGUCAUAACCAUUUGAAUUUGUUUUGUAAAUAUAUUUAUUUUUUAAAUAGCUUAUUAAUUCUUGAAAUAUUAAUGGAUUAGUAUUAUUUUAUUUCAAAUAAUCUUGUAUAAAUUGAAACAAUUGUUUUAAGACAAAACAAAAAGCCAAAACAAUUUGAAAUAUAUAAUUAUUCAAAUAGUAAUAAUUAUUUAAAUUGUUUCAUUCAACAGAUUUAUUUUUUUAUCUCUUACAUAUAAAUUUUUGAAAAAGUAAUAAAUUGAUAUUAUUUUACUCCAAGUCAUCUUGUAUGAAUAGACACAACUAUUUUAUGACAAACAAAAGGUAAUAACGAUUUAAAAUAAUUAAUUGUUCAAAUAGCCAUAAUUAUUUGAACUGUUUCAGUGUAAAUAGUAAUAAUGAUUUGUAAUAGAUAAUUGUUCAAAUAGUCAUAACUAUUUGAACUAAUUUGGUAAACAGAUUUAUUUUUUACAUUUCUUAAUUAUUAAUUUUUAGAAUAUUAGUAUAUUGUAGUUCUUUUAUUCCAAAUUAGCUUGUAUGAAUAGAAACAAUUAUUUUAUUACUUAACAAAAGUCAUAAUGAUUUGAAAUAUAAAUUUGUUCAAAUAGUCUUAACUGUUUAAACUUAUUUGAUAACAGAUUUACUUUUUAAGUCUCUUACUUAUUAAUUAUUAGAAUAUUAAUAAAUUAAUAUUAUUUUAUUCUAAAUAAACUUGAACGAAUAGAAACAAUUAUUUUUUGACAAAAUAAAAUGUCAUAGCGAUUUGAAGUAGUUAAUUAUGUAAAUAGUCGUAAUUAUUGGAACUAUUUUAAUAAAUAAUUUAUUUUUUAAAUGUAUUACUUAUUAAUUUUCAGAAUACUAAUAAAUUAGUAUUAUUUUAUUUCAAAUAAACUUGUAUGAAUAGAAACAUUUAUCUUAUGAUAAAAGAAAAAGUAAGAACAAUUUCAAAAAAAUAAUUGUUCAAAUAGUCAACAUUUGAACUUAUUCUGUAAACCAAAUUUUUUUGUAAAUAUCUUACUCAUUAAUUUUGAAAACAUUAAUGGAUUAAUAUUAUUUUAUUCUAAAUAAACUUAUAUGAAUAGAAACAAUUAUUUUAUGACAAAAUAAAAUGUCAAAACGAUUUAAAGUAGAUAAUUGUUCAAAUAGUCAUAAUUAUUUAAGCUGUUUCGGUCAACAGAUUUAUUUUUUUAAUCUACUACUUAUUAAUUUUUGAAAAAAUAAUAAAUUAGUAUUAUUUUUUCCAAUAAGUUUGUAUCAAUAGAAAUAAUUGUUUUAUGACAAAAUAAAAGGUAAUAACAUUUUAAAGUAGUUAAUCGUUCAAAUAGUCAUAAUUAUUUGAACUAUUUCAGCAAACAAAUUUAUUUUUUAAAUCUCUUACUUCAUAAAUUUUGGAAUAUUUAUAAAUUAGAAUUUUUUGUAUGAAAAAAGCUUAUGUGAACAGAAACAAUUGUUUUAUGAUGAAACAAAAGAGAUAAUAUUUGAAAUAGAUAAUGGUUCAAUUAGUCAUAACUAUUUGAACAUAUUCAAUAAAUAAAUUUAAUUUCUAAAUAUAUUAUAUAUUAAUUUUUGGAAUAUUAAUAGAUUAGUAUUAUUUUAUUUCAAAUAAAUUUGUAUGAAUAGAAACAAUUGUUUUAUGACUAAACAAAGGUCAUAAUGAUUUGAAAUUGAUAUUUAUUCAAAUAGUAAUAAUUAUUUGAACUUUUUUCAUAAAAAGAUUUAUUUUUUAAAUCUCUUACUCAUUAAUUUUUAAAUAUUAAUAAAUUAGUAUUAUUUUAUUCUAAAUUAGCUUAUAUGAACAGAAACAAUGGUUUUAUUAUAAAAUAAAAGGUCAUAGCGUUUUGAAGUAGUUAACUAUACAAAUAGUCAUAAUUAUUUGAAUUAUUUUAGUAAACAUAUUUAUUUUUUAAAUAUCUUAUUUAUUAAUUUUUAGAAUAUUAAUAAAUUAGUAUUAUUUUAUUUCAUUCAAACUUGUAUGAACAAAAACAAUUAUUUUAUAAUAAAACCAAAGGUCAGAAUGAUUUGAAAUAAAUUAUUGUUCAAAUGGUCAUAACCUUUUGAACUUAUUUGGUGAAUAGAUUUAUUUUUUAAAUAUCUUAGUUAAUAAUUUUUGAAAUAUUAAUAAAUUAGUAUUAUUUUAUUUUGAAUAAGUUUGUAUGAACAUAAAUGAUUGUUUUAUGAUAAAACAAAAGGCCAGAAUGAUUUAAAAUAAAUUAUUGUUCAAAUAGUUAUAACCAUUUUAAUUUGUUAGGUAAACAAAUUUAUUUUUUAAAUAUCUUACUUAUUAAAUUUCAUAAUAUUAAUAAAUUAGCAUUAUUUUAUUUCAAAUAAGCUUUUUUGAAAAGAAACAAUUGUUUUAUGAGAAAAUAACAGGCCAUAACGAUUUAAAAUAGAUAAUUAUUUCAAUAGUCAUAACUAUUUAAACCAAUUCUAAAAACUUGUUUAUUUUUUAAAUCUCUUAUUAAUUUUCAUACUAUUACUAAAAAAGUAUUAUUUUACUCCAAAUAAGCUUGUAUGAAAAGAAAUAGUUGUUUUAUAAAAAAACAAAAGGUCAAAAGAUUUCAAAUAAAUAAUUGUUCAAAAAGUCAUAACUAUUUGAACUAUUUUGGUAAACAGAUUUAUUUUUGUAUUUUAUUACUUAUUAAUUUUCAAAAUAGAAAUAAAUUAGAAUUGCUUUAUUCCAAAUAAGCUUGUAUGAAUAGAAACAAUUGUUUUAUAGCAAAACAAAAGAUAAUAACGAUUUGAAGUAAUUAAUUAUUCAAAUAGAAAUAAGUAUUUAAAGUAUUUUGAUAAAUCGAUCUAUUUUUUAAAUCUCUUAUUAAUUUUUAGAAAACUAAUAAAUCAAUAUUAUUUUAUUCAAAAUAAGUUUGCGUGAAUAGAAACAAUUUUUUUAUGACAAAAUAAAAUGUCAUAGUAAUUAGAAAUAGUUAACCGUACAAAUAGUCAUAACUAUUUAAUCUUAUUCGGUGAACAAAUUUAUUUUUUAAAUAUCUUAGUUAUUAAAUUUUGAAAUAUUAAUAAAUUACUAUUAAUUUAUUCUAAAUAAGUUUGUAUCAACAAAAACAAAUAUUUUUUGAAAAAACAAAAGAUUAUAACGAUUUGAAAUCAAUAAUUAUUCAAAUAGUUAUAACUAUUUGAAUUUGUUUGGUCAACAAAUUCAUUUUUUUAAAUCACUUAUUAAUUUUUGAAAUAUUACUAAAUUAGUAUUUUUUUAUUCUAGAUAACAGAAAUAAUUAUUUUAUGUCAAAAUAAAAGCUCGUAAUAAUUUGAAAUAAAUAAUUAUUCAAAUAGUCAUAACUAUUUGAAUUGAUUCGAGAAAUAGAUUUUUUUAAAUCUUUUAUUAAUUUUCAUAAUAUUAAUAAAGAAGUAUUAUUUUAUUCCGAAUAAACUUGUGCGAAAAGAAUUAAUUGUUUUAUGAAAAAAAUAAGUGAUCAUAAUAAUUUGAAAUAAAUAAUUGUUCAAAUAAUCAUAAUGAUUUGAACUGUUUUAGUAAACAUAUUUAUUUUUUUAUUUUGCUACUUAUUAAUUUUAAGAAUAGAAACAAAUUAGUAUUGUUUUAUUCCGAAUCAGCUUAUAUAAAUAGAAAUAAUUGUUUUAUGAUAAAAAUAAAAGAUAAUAAUGAUUUGAAUUAGUUAAUUAUUCAAAUAGUAAUAAAUAUUUGAACUAUUUUGGUAAAUAAAUUUAUUUUUUAAAUUUCUUUCUUAUUAAUUUUUGAAAUACUAAUAAAUUAGUAUUAUUUUACUCUAAAAUGUUUUGUGACAAAUCAAAAUGUUAGAAUGAUUUGAAAUUGAUAAUUGUUCAAAUAGCCAUAACCAUUUGAACUUGUUCAAUAAACAGAUUUAAUUUUAAAUAUCUUACUAAAUAAUUUUCGACAUAUUAAUGGAUUAGUAUUACUUUAUUUCGAAUAAGCUUAUAUGAAUAUAAACAAUUAUUUUAUAAUAAAACAAAAAGUCAAAAUGAUUUGAAAUAAAUAUUUAUUCCAAUAGUCAUUGUAGAUACUCCAUUUUAUCUAGGGAUUUUUCAAAAUUCAUUAGGUUUCGAAUUUUUAUUUUGAUUGUGUAAUUGGGUUUUAAUUGAAAAAAAUGAAUUUUAGGCUCAAAUAUUAAGCCCUAAAUUUUAUUUGUAUUAUAAUUUUUUAGUUUAAUUUUUUGUUUAAUUUUUUUUAGUUAAAAGAGUCAAAGUCAAUUGGUAAAAAAAAAACAAAAAUGGAGUAAAAAAUAAAAAAAUAUGGGAUUUUGCAUGAAAAAUUUUGGAUUCAAUUCAACUUUUAGAUUCUAUAUCAGAUUUUAACUUUAAUGGUUGAAUAAUUUUGAAAAGACUUGGGGCUUAAUCUACUAAAAAAUGAAAGAUUACACAGAGAAUAAAAUUUGGAGCGAAAUCCUAGAUUCGUUUGAAUUAAUUUCUUUCAAAUCAAAAGGGAUUCAAUCCCUAUAUAAAGACCUUGAAUCUAUGAUCAAAGGGGGACCUCAUAUUAAUUCACUUUAAGAUCAAACAGAGGUCAUUAAAAAGACAAAAAUUUUGGGCAAAAUUUUGAAUCAACAAUGAAUAAACAAUCAAGCAAAAAAUUGCGAGAAGAUUCAGUUAGAGUUUUUGGAAUGAAGGCUAAGAUUUAUAGUAGGAAGUAUCAAUUUUUGAAAGAUCAAAAGUUGUUGGAACCCGUGAUCCAUUGAGGUAAUAUUUGCUUUUUUUGUUAUUUUUACAUAACUUUUAUAAUAUUUAAUUACUUACUCUUAUUUUUAUAUUUAUUACAUGGUAUUUAUUUUUGCAUGAGUUUGCAUAACUAAUAUUAUAUCUGUAUGAUAAUUUAUUUGCCUAAUAUAUUUAUUUGCAUGAUUUGUUUAAUUGCAUGAUUAUUAAUAUAUUUAUUUGCUUGAUUACCUAAUAUAUUUAUGUGUGUGACUGCAUGUUAUUAAUAUAUUUAUUUGCAUGUAAUAUAUUUAUUUGUAUGAUUUAUUAAUAUAUUUGCAUUAUUAUUAAUGUAUUUAUUUGUAUGAUUAUAUUUAAUUUGAUUGCAUGAUUAUUAAUAUAUUUAUUUAUAUGAUUAUAUUUCAUUUUAUUGCAUGAUUAAUAUUAUAUUUGAAUGAUAUUUAAUUGCAUGUUUGUAUAUUUAUUGUGUGCAUAAUUGCAUGAUUAUACAUAAUUACUAAUAUAUUUGUGUGAUUAUAUUUUAUUUCAUUAUUAUAUAUUUACAUGGUAUUUUAUAUUAUUGCAUGGCAUUUUAUAUUAUUGCAUGAUAAUUAAUAUAUUUGCAUGACAUUCUUGCAUGAAUAUUUUAGCAUGAUCUAGGCAUGAUAUUAUUACAUGACAUUUGGCAUGAUUCAUAAUAUAUUUGCAUGAUAAUUUUUGCAUGGUAUGAUUUAAUAUUUAUUACAUGAUUGCAUGAUUGCUUGAUGUUUUGAUAGAAAUUUUGUUUCAUCAUGUUUUGUAAAUAGAUAAAAGGCUUGGAAUUGAUUUUGAUUUACAUGAUAAAACCAUCUUUGAUUAAAGCUUAAGCAAGAUAAUACAUAAUUAAUUUGGUACCAGUUUUGGGCAUAAAAGGGUGCUAAUACCUUCUCUGUAUGUAAUCGACCCCUGAACUUUAGUUCUGUUGAUGUAGACUAGAACAUAUUCUUUUUAAAGACUCUCAGCUUAGGCUUAGGAUAACCUUAAAAAGGAUAGAUUCACAUAGGUGGCCAAUCACACUUAGCUAAAAAUGAUUGGUGGCAACUUCAUAAUUUUUGUGUCUAAUGGGUAGGUUUCCUAACCUAUACAUUAUGACAAUUUAGCGACUCCACUAGAGAUAUUAGAGAGUCAAGCCAUUAGUUAGUUAUGUGUUAUCUUAAGCCUUACUUUGAUAGUCUUUAUUAUGUAAUUAUUUAUGAUUUUCAUGUGGACUAACCUAUUUGUUUGUGAUUUCUUUUUUGUUUGUUUUGCAAAUAUUAUUUUUUAUUCACACCUAUCUAUUUGAUUACUUGGCAUGUCCCUUUACACACACCACACUUGCAUUCAUACAUAAGCUCUAUAUCCGAGCUUUAUCCUUUAUUAGGAGGGAGCUAGUGUCUACACUCUCGUGAGGUGAUAACCUCCAUGUGAGCUAGCAAAAAAUCUCUUUCAAAUUGAACCCUUUUUGUUUAAGUCAUAAUGGUGGGCGAGAAUUUGGGUGCCUUACUACUUUAUAAUGGAUGAUGAUGUGGGGAACAAUUUGAAAGCCUUUAGAUUGUCAAGCCUUUGAACCCAACAUGUACAUGAACCCUAAAGUUCCAAACCUAGACUAGAGCCCUGCCUUCCAUUUAAUUAGAAAAAAAAAACCUAAAUAGGACACAUAAUGGGAUAGUUAUUAUUUUUUAAAAUUUAUGUUAUUCCUUAUAUAUAUUUUUGCAUACUAACCUUUUAUAUUUUGUUAUUCCUUGUAUAUAUUAUAUUAUGUUAACUAACCUUUUUUUUGUGUGCAUACAUUCAUCAUUAAAUUUACAUAAGGAGUGAUUACCAUAAAGUAAUCUUAAUAAAAAGAAUCUUAAUUACAUCCAUAGAGAACUAUUUGUUGGCCUUGAAUUGAUUAAGAGUUUUGAUUUGACAAAACAAAAAUUUGCCUAACUUGAAUCAAUCUUUUCUAAGCUUAAAUUGAACAUUUUCCACCCUUCUAUCUUGCCAAAAUCCAUUUGAGAACCAAAACAAGUCAAAUUCUCGGAACAAAACCUGAUUAGUGCAAGCUUUGAUAGAAGGGAUCAAUCCCCUCCUUACCAAAUCGAUCCUUUAGCAAAAGGGAUCGAUCCUGUUUUUUUUUUUCAGAACCAAAAGUCUUUAAGUUUUGGCAAAAAUCAAUCGAUCCCUUCCCUAUAGGGAUCAAUUGGUUGGGUUUCAAGCUGACCAGAUCGAUCCUUUCAUUCAAGGGAUCGACCACUUUUUCUUACAGAAAGUUCUCAUUGUACAAUUUUCUAGAAAAGGGAUCGAUCCCCCCACAUAGGGGAUCAAUCACCUAAGGCAAGGAAUCAAUCCCCUCUUAAAGAGAUUGAUUGGUUGCUCAAACAAAAUGCUCCCCCAAUCUGAAAAUUCAGAAAAGGGAUCAAUUCCCCCACAUAGGGAUCAAUCGGGUAAGACAAUUUAGGCACAAAAUCGUGCCUUCUCCAACAUGAACCAAUUGAUCUCUUAAAGGAGAGGAUCGAUCCCCUGAAGGCCAAAAACUCCCAACGACUAUUUUUGUUUAAAAUUUUUACAGGUUUGAAGCAUUAAAUGCAAUCUAACGGCUCUCAACUUCUUCCUACCUAUAAAUAAAGCAUUCAACUACAGAUCAAGGGUAACAAGAGCCAAGAAAACUUAUUUUUAUUCACCUACCAAUUUUUUCAAGCAUUCAAAGCUGUUCCAAGUCAGAAAAGUGCAGAAUUCAUAUUAGUUUUUCUCUAUUUUCUUGUCUAAACUAUUAUUUACUUCAAAUUAGCAAACACCCAACCUUUGAGAAGUUCUUAAAGUUUACAAAACACUUCAAAAAUUCUAUAUUGUGAGCUUGUAGGCUUAAGGGGGAGGAUAACCCUUAAGAGUGCGUAGUGUUGAGUUUGUAAAGCUUUGAGAAGCUUGGUUGUAAUCUUCAACAUAUAAUCGAUUGAACUUCUUGGCAAAAGAGGCUAAGAGAGAGGACGUAAGUGUCUAAAGAAAGACUGAACCUUUAUAAAUCUUGGUGUCAAAUUCUCUAACCCUAUCUCUUAUUUAAUUUCAAUUAUUGUGUUUAAUUAUUUAGCAAAAUUUGUGCUUAUUGAAUAUUAUUUUUGAAAAAUCUAUUAAAACCAAUUCACCCCCCUCUUGGUUUAUUCCAAGUCUUUGAGCUAACAAUUGGUAUCAGAGCUAAUACUCUUUUUGGUAGGUUUAACAACCUAAGAGUGAUCCUAAAAAUAGCUUAAAGAAAUAUGGUAUUCAAUGUGAAAAAACCAUUCUCAAGCUACAACAACUACAGUGGCCAACAAGAGGUGUGUCUCAUAGCCAAUGAAAUAGUUGCAACAUCUAUUGGAAGUAAAGGGCAUUCAAUUGUAAGACCCUUUUUUUUCUGGUGACAACUACUUCUAUUGAAAGACUAGGAUGAGGUUGUUCAUUCAAGCUAAUGAUUAUGAAAUUUGAAGGGUUAUUGUAAAUGGUCCUCAAAUUCCAAUGAAGAUGGUGGAUGGUAGGGAGGUGAUCAAGCUAGAGAGUGAAUGGGAUGUCAAUGACAUGAAGAUGAUGGAUGGUAGGGAGGUGAUCAAGCUAGAGAGUGAAUGGCUCAACUCAAUGCCAAAGUAAUGCAUACAUUUUUUUGUGCAUUAGGGCCAAGUGAGUACAAUAGAGUUUUUUUAUGUGAAAAUACAAAGAAAAUUUAGGAUAAGCUAGCUAUUACUCAUGAAGGUACCAAUCAAGUGAAAAAGAUGAAAAUUGGCAUGCUAACUCACGAUUAUGAGCUAUUCAAGAUGAAACCAGAUGAAACCAAAUGAAACUAUUAGUGAGAUGUCAAAUCACUUCACCGACAUCAUUAAUGGUUUAAAAGCUCUUGAGAAGACUUACUCAAAUGUAAAAUAAAGAUCAAAAGAGGACAAGCACCAAUCAAGAAAGAUGGCAUUGCUCUUAAAUUUACCUUUCAAGAAGAUGAAGAAAAUUUUGGACAAUAGGAGGAUGAUAAAGAUGAAAAUAUGGUCAUGUUUGUAAAAAGAUUCUAGAAGUUCAUGAGAAUGAACAAGUUUUCAAGUAGAAGAAGACCAUAAAAGGAGAUCACUAAAGAGGAAUCAAGUAGAAAAGAAAUGGAUCAAAUUAUUUGCUAUGAAUGCAACAAAUCAUGUCACAUUAAACUUGAUUGUCCUUUGUGGGAAAAGUAAAACAUGACAAGGCAAAAGAAGAAAGCUAUGGUAACAACAUGGAGUGAUAGUGACUUUUUCGACGAUGAAUCAAAUGAGGAGGAAGUAGCCAAUCUAUGUCUCAUGGCUUUUGAUGAGUCCAAGGUGGAUGAACAUUGCUACAAAGCCAAUUCAAGCAAAAACAAUCCAUGGUACCUUGAUAGUGGAUGCUCAAAACACAUGAUUAGGGAUAAAACUCUUUUUAAAGACUUGAAAGCAAAAAGUGGAGGAGAUGUUACAUUUGGUGACAAUUCUAAAGGCCAAAUUGAAGGGAUUGGCUCCAUUGGUAACAAUUCCUCUACUACUAUUGAAAAUGUUUUACUUGUAAAAGGUCUUAAGCAUAACCUAUUAAGUAUUAGUCAAUUAUGUGAUAAAGGACUUAGAGUUGUGUUUGAAUCCAUGUGUUAUCAAGUGAUUAAUAUCAAAACUAACAAACUUGUUUUUGUUAGACAUCAUCAAAAAAAUAUUUAUAUAGUGCAUCUAGAUGACCUAUCCUCUAAAAAUGUUUAUUUUAUAGCUUAAAAAAAAUGAGAAUUGGAUUUGGCAUAGAAGGCUUGGACAUGCAAGUAUGCAUAUAAUUUCAAAACUUUCUCAAAAUGAUUUGGUUGUUGGUUUGUCAAAGUUGAAAUAUGAAAAUGACAAGGUUUGUGAUGCAUGUGCUCAAAGAAAACAUAGAAGAACUUCUUUCAAAUCUAAGAAUUGUAUUUCAACUACUAGACAUCUUCAACUACUUCAUAUUGAUCUUUUUGGCCCUAAUAGAAUAAUGAGUCUUAGUGGAAAACAAUAUGGGUUUGUUAUUGUUGAUGAUUUUACUAGAUUCACAUGGGUUUUUUUUUUUUGCAUUUAAAGAAUGAGGCUUUGAAAAAAUUCAUCACUUUUAGCAAACAAAUACAAAAUGAAAAAGGUUAUUCAAUUACUAGUAUUAUAAGUGAUCAUGGAAAGGAACUUAAAAAUCUUGGCUUUAAUGUAUUUUGUAGUGAAAAUGGUAUUAGCCACAAUUUUUUUGCUCCUAUAACUCCUCAACAAAAUGGGGUAGUGGAAAGGAGAAAUAGAACUUUAGAAGAAAUGGCUAGAACCAUGCUUUGUGAAAAUAAUUUACCUAGAUAUUUUUGGGCAGAAGCCAUAAAUACUUCUUAUUAUAUUAUAAAUAAAGCUAUGAUUAGGUCAAUUUUGAAGAAAACCCCUAUGAGCUUUUUAAAGGAAAAAAGGUCUAACAUAAGUUAUUUUCAUCCUUUUGGUUGCAAAUGCUUUAUUUUAAACAAUGAAAAAGAUGAUCUUGGUAAAUUUGAUGCAAAAAGUGAUGAAGGGAUUUUCCUAGGAUGUUUUUUGAAUUCAAAAGCUUAUAGAGUUUUUAAUAAAUGAACAUUAGUGGUUAAAAAAUCUAUACAUGUUAUUUUUUAUGAGUUUACUCACUUCCGAGAAAGGUGCUUCUUGAUGAUGAUGAUGAUAUAAGUAUACUUCAAGAAUGGAUCAAUGAGGCACCUCAUGACAUUGAAAAGAAUAAUCAAAAGGAAGAUGAUGAGUUUUUAGAGAAGCCAUAACACAUAAAGAGAGAGCCAAAUCAUCAUAGAGAAAUAAGGUAUGUCAAAGAUAAUGAAAUUAUUGGUGAUCCAACUCAAGAUGUAAGAACUAGAUCUUCUUAUAAUGUAUGUAAUUAUGUUGUUUUCCUAUCUCAUUUUGAACCUAAAAAUAUAGAUAAAGCUUUAGGAGAUGAUCAUUGGAUAUUGGCCAUGAAAGAGGAAUUGAACUAAUUUGAAAGAAGCCAAGUAUGGAAUCUUGCAUCUAGGCCUAAUGGUCAUCCUACUAUAGGCACAAAAUGGGUUUUUAGGAAUAAAAUGGAUGAGCAUGGGAAUGUUAUUAGAACAAAGCUAGAUUGGUAGCUCAAGGGUAUAGUUAAGAAGAGGAAAUUGAUUAUGAUGAAACCGAUGCCCUGAUUGCAAGGUUAGAGGCCAUAAGAAUGUUGCUUGCAUUUGCAUGUUUUAAAAAUUUCAAGCUUUUUCAAAUGGAUGUCAAGAGUGCAUUUCUUAUGGUUUUAUAAAUGAAGAAGUAUAUGUAGAGCAACCUCUCAAUUUUGAAAAUCUAAAAUUUCCAAAUCAUGUUUAUAAAUUGACAAAAACAUUAUAUGGUCUAAAAUAAGCUCCUAGAGCUUGGUAUGAAAUAUUGUCAAAUUUUUUGGUAGAAAAUAGUUUUAAUAGAGAGAAGGUUGAUACUACACUUUUUAUUAAAACAAAAGGAAAGGACAUUAUCAUAGUGCAAAAUUAAGUAGAUGAUAUUAUAUUUAGUGCUACUAAUGAAAUUCUUUGUCAAAAAUUUGCUAAGAUUAUGUAAGGUGAAUUUGAAAUGAGCAUGAUAAGAGAACUCACAUUCUUUUUGGGACUACAAGUAAAGUAAACAAAAGAUGGCACCUUCAUCAAUCAAGCCAAAUACAUCAAAGAUUUGCUCAUAAGAUUUGGAUUGGAAGAAUCAAAGCCUUGCUUAACACCAAUGAGCACUUCAACAAAACUUGACAAGUAUAAAAGAGGUAAAUGUGUUGACUCUAAACUAUAUAGGUCUAUGAUUGGUUCAUUGCUAUAUCUUACUGCAAGUAGACUUGAUAUUAUGUUUAGUGUUUGUUUAUGUGCUAGAUUUCAAUCUUCACCUAGAGAAUCACAUUUAUCUACUGUCAAAAAAAAUUUUAGGUACCUUAAGGACACCCUUAAUUUAGGAUUAUGAUAUCCAAAAGGUUCAUCUUUUGCUUUACAUGCCUAUUCCGAUGUAGAUUUUGGUAGGUGCAAAAUUGAUAGAAAAAGCACUUUUGAUACUUGUCAAUUGUUUGGAAAUAUGCUCAUAUCAUGGUUUUCCAAUAAACAAAAUAGUGUUUCUCAAUCUACAACCAAAGUCGAAUAUGUGGUAGCCAAAAGUUGUUAUGCUCAAGUUUUGUGGAUUAAGCAAUAAUUGGAGGAUUAUAGAAUAACCAUGGAUCAUAUUCCCAAUAAAUGUGACAAUACUAGUGCCAUCAAUCUCACUAAAAAUCCAAUUCAACACUCUAGAACCAAACAUAUUGAAAUUAGGCAUCAUUUUAUUAGAGAUCAUGUUCAAAAAGGUGAUAUUGUGCUUGAAUAUGUUGAUACCUUGCAUCAACUAGCUGAUAUCUUCAUAAAACCUCUUGAUAAGGAUAGAUUUUAUGUAAUUAGAGGUAAACUUGAUAUGAUGAAUGUUUCUUGAAGUGAAUUUCUUGAUGUUAUAAUGAAUAGUGCACUAUUAAUUGAUCAAAUGUGUGUUUAUCUAAAUUUUUUUGUAGUUUGUGCAUGAUUGUAUAAUGCAUGCUUGAAUAAUCAUAUUGCAUGGAUUUUAAAUCUUUUAAUUAAAUAAAAAAAACUACAGCAAAAAUCAAUCGAUCCUUUUUGGAAUGAACCGAUUGUUUCCUUAUCCCUAGCUAAAUUAAAGGGAAAACAUAGGGAACAGAUCGAUCCCUUUUGGAUAGGAUCGAUCGAAUACGCAUCCAGUAGCCAAUUUUAUUUGAAACCAUGCAGAACUGAUCGAUCCCCUUGGGACAAGACUGAUUGGAUAUUCAACAGGUAGCUAAAAGAAGUUGGAAACGUGCAAAACUAAUCGAUCCCCUUCAAUACCAAUUGAUCGGUUCCAUGUAAAAACCAUAAUCGAUUAAUCCCUUACUUCAGUCGAUCGAUCAGGUCGUGUCUCUUUAGAGUGAUAAACUCAGGUCUUCCUCUAGUUUGAUUGAUCAUUUCAACCUUUUUCUCCUGUUCAUCUUCUUUCCAAACUCAUCCUCUCCAAACCUUAAACACUCCAACUCAUUUUCCAUCUAAAAUUGAUCCUUUUUAGCUAUAUCUUUAGCAAAUUUCUUCACUCUAACUUGAUCUCUUACAGAAAUUCCUCUUUAAAACCCAUCAAAUCACACAAAAAUUGAUACCCAUCUUUUCUCACUCUAAAAGGUUGAUCUACCACACUCACUCACCUUCUUACAUCACACAAACAUAUCUUGCUCCUCAUCACCUACUAUCACAAAUUCACUCAUCAAUUUCACCUCAACAUGGCCUCAAAACCAAAGUCAUUACUGGAAGAAGGAAUCCCCCAAUGGAGGCUUCAAGCUCAACGAUGAAGCCAUCCUUCAAUCAAAAUUUCAACAAUCUAGAUGUAAAGGACCGGUAUGAGAUGUAUUUUGCACAUCGAGAAGUAAAGCAUGGAAAGGUAAUUUCCUUAAAUUUCCUCAAAUCAAUAGAAUUUCCUUACCUGCAUGCUUUUGAAAAAUUUGGACGGCUACAUUAUUUGUGCAUGGAAGGUUUAUUAUUUGAGAAUUUAGUAAGAGUUUUCUAUAGUAAUGCUAGCUGUGUCUAAAUUAAAGGAUCAAAUAGGCAUUACCUUAAUAGAUUCAAAACUUAUGUGAUAGAAAGGAAAAUAUUAGUUACCAAACAAGUGCUAGCUGAAGCUUUUAAGUUAGAUGAUGAGGGAAAAACAAACACUAGAUGUGACAUGGUGCAACUUACUUGAGACAUCUUUAGCAAUCAUAACCUAUAAAUUGCUCCCACUCAAGCCUUUAGGUUAUCCAUGCAUGAUAGGUUGCUACACCUCAUUGUUACUCAUGUUUUAGCACCUUUUAGGACACAAUACUUUACCAUUAGGAAGCAAGAUUAUUGGUGGAUGUAUAAGAUCAAGCAUGGACAGAAACCAAAUUUGGUGCACUUCAUUUUUCAUGAUAUGAUGAGGAUAGUUCAGAAUAAAGAUUAUACAUUGGUAUAUGGGUAUGUCAUAAGUAAUCUUUUGAGGCAUUUGGAGGUGAAUACUAGAGGAGACAAGGAAAUGGUAUUUAAUGACCAAUUUAGUGUUCUUGGGGCUCUUACAUUGCAUAGCAUGGGGUAUACUCAAAUUGCAGCUAGACUAUGGGUUAAAAAGGGUGAUAUUGGAGGUGCCCAAGAAGAGGAAGAAGAACAAGAACCUUUAGAUAUGCUUGACCCUCAAGAUGAACCCUCUACCCCACCAUUCAAUACUCGAAGAGCCUUAAAGAUGCUUUUACUUUAAAUGAACAGCUUGUAUUCGGUGGUUGGCAAUAUGAACACUAGAUUGGAAUAUAGAGGAAACUCAAAAUGAGCUAGUAGCACAAGUUUGCCAUCUUCGAGCUGAAAUUGAACAAAUGAGAUCUCCACAUACGCACAUGGGGUAACCUUCUUCUCACUCUCCUUAUCCUCAUCAGUCUUUCCAUUCUCCACCUCCACUUCCACCUCAAUGAGCUUCACUAAUGCCAUUCUUUAUGUUUUCCCACACCUUUGUAUUUUGUAAAUCUAUAUUUGCUUUAUGGUUUGUAAACCUUGGUACUUUAUAUUUAUAUUAAUGCAAUUUAUCUUUCCUUCUCAUAUAGCUUGUGUUAGUGUGGCAUAUGACAUCGAUGUGUUAUUUGAUGAUUCAUAUGAACUUAAGUGGCCUUGAAUUGAUUAUUCUCUCAUUUAGCUUUACUUCAUCUUUUUUGCUAUGACAAAAAGAGGGAGAAAUAUUGGUAUGAAAAUGGUAUGAAAAAUUGUUUUGAUGAUCCUAAUGAUAUUGAUGGUUUUGGUGAUAUAGCUUCUGCUUAGUUGCCUUAAAACUUAUGCUUAAAUUCAAUGGGAGCUAUAUUGUUAUUCAAAGGGAGUUUGUUUUUCAUAAAUUCAGGGGGAGCUUGUUUUUCAAAAGGAAAAAUGUUUUUAAGAAAAUUUUUCACUUGAUUUUGUCAUAUCAAAAAGGGGGAGAUUAUUGGCCUUGAAUUGAUUAAAAGUUUUGAUUUGACAAAACAAAAAAUUACCUAACUUGAAUCAAUCUUUUCUAAGCUUAAAUUGAACAUUUUUCCACCCUUCUAUCUUGCCAAAAUCCAUUUGAGAACCAAAACAAGUCAAAUUCUCAGAAUAAAACCUGAUUAGUGCAAGUUUUGAUAGAAGGGAUCAAUCCCCUAAGGGAAGGUAUCGAUCCUCUCCUUACCAGAUCGAUCCUCUAACAAAAGGGAUCGAUCCUAUUUUCUUUCAGAAUCAAAAGUCUUCAAGUUUUGGCAAAAACCAAUCAAUUCCCUCCUUGUAGGGAUCGAUUGGUUGGGGUUUCAAGCUAACCAGAUCUAUCAUCUCAUUCAAGGGAUCGAUCACUUUUUCAUACAGAAAGUUUUCAUCGUGUAAUUUUCCAAAAAAGGGAUCGAUCCCCCCCACAAAAAGGAUCGAUCACCUAAGGCAUGGGAUCGAUUAGUUGCUUAAACAUAAUGCCCCCUAAGUCUGAAAAUCCAGAAAAGGGAUUGAUCUCCCCAUAUAGGGGAUCGAUCGGGUAAGGUAAUUUAGGCACAAAAUCGUGCCUUCUCCAACAUGAACCAAUCGAUCUCCUAAAAGAGAGGAUCUAUCCCAUGAAGGCCAAAAACUCCCAACAAUUAUUUUUGUCUGAAAGUUUUACAGGUUUGAAGCAUUAAAUGCAAUCCAACGGCUCUCAACUUCUUCUUUCCUAUAAAUAAAGCAUUCAACUGCAGAUCAAGGGUAACAAGAGCCAAGAAAACUUAUUGUUAUUUACCUACCAAUUUGCUCAAGCAUUCAAAGCUGUUCCAAGUUAGAAAAGUGCAAAUUUCAUAUAAUUAUUCUCUAUUUUCUUGUUUAAACUAUUAUGUACCUUAAAUUAGCAAACACCCAACCUUUGAGAGGUUAUUAGAGUUUGCAAAACACUUCAAAAAUUCUAUAUUGUGAGCUUGUAAGCUUAAGAUGAAGGAUAACCCUUAAGAGUGUGUAAUGUUGAGUUUGUAAAGCUUUGAGAAGCUUGGUUGUAAUCUUCAACAUAUAAUGGAUUGAACUCCUUGGCAAAAGAGGCUAAGGGAAAGGACGUAGGUGCCUAAGGAAAGAUCGAACCUCUAAAAAUCUCGAUGUCAAAUUCUCUAACCCUAUCUUUUAUUUACUUUCAAUUAUUGUGUUUAAUUGUUUAGCAAAUUUGUGCUUAUUGAAUAUUUUUUUUGAAAAAUCUAUUAAAAUCAAUUCACCCCCCUCUUGGUUUAUUCCAAGUCUUUAAGCUAACACUAUUAAAGUUCCCUAUAGGCUUGAGAAUGAAGUCUAAAAAAGCUCAGCUUAAAAAAGGUGAUUGUUUGCUAGCCAAUUAUGUAACUACUCUACCUGCCAAAAUCCAUCUCAAUCUCAAACGAAAUGAUAUUAGCAAUUUGGUUAGUAUUUAGAACCAAUAUAGUAUCACUACUAACGAGAUUUUCCAAAAGAAGUUUGGGGACCUUGAAUUACUUCUUUCAGUGCCUGUUGAUGAUUAAUUUAUUAAGGCCAUGAUUCUGUUUUGGGACCUUUCAUAUCGCUGCUUUGUGUUUAAUAAGGUUGACAUGGUGCCAACUACUGAAGAAUAUUCAACUCUCUUUCACUUGGAUCUCCUUAAUCGUAAUAAGGUAUAUUGGAAAAAUAAAAAGACUGGUCACUAAAAAUAGCUUGCUCAAAUGAUGGCCAUAGAUAUACAAAUAGUUGGUAAUUAGGUAAAAGGAAAAGGUGAAAAUGUUGGUAUUCCUUGGUCCAUUGUUGAUAACUUUAUAUACAAAUAUUUUGGCACUAAAAGAGGAUUGGAUUUGAUGGCAUUGGCUUUAUAUAGGAUAAUGGUAUUUCCAAAAGUUACAGUGGUGAAUUUUUUUGAUCAACUUGGUUACCAAAUCAACCCUAUUCCUAUAAUUUUGGCUGAGACUAUUAGAUCUUUAAAUCAUUGUCACCAAAAUGGAGAGGGUCGUUUUAUUGGAUAUGCUCAAUUAUUAACCAUUUGAUGAAAAGUCAUAUUGAAAAUAAUGGUGGCAAAUUUUGCAAGCCCUAUUUCACUACAAACACUCCCAUCAAGUAAUUUUGUGAGAAUGAAUGGCCUACACAAAAGUCCAAAGAAGCAUAAAUCUUAUUUCUAUGCAAGCUUUGGGCUCCUCUCUUAAGCCUUUGGGGUGCAGUGAGUUAUUCUCUCAUCAUGGUGUAAAGAUAAUAUGGAUAUGAACAGUUUAUCCCAGCCACUUCUAGACUUAGUAAAAUGGAGUUCUCAUAUAUUGAAAUAUAUGCCUCCAUAAAGAUAGCUAAAAUCUUACAAGCUUGGAAUUUACCUCAAAGGGAAGCUAGAAGGAGACACUCAAAUAAAGUUACUCUUAAGUACUUUGUGUGGCACAUUAAGGGAGGUAAAGACAUUAAAAUCCCUGAAGAAACAACUCUAAAUGACCCAAUGAAACCAUCAACUUUGGAUCCCCUAUUGGUAGUGAAAAACAUAAAAAGAAAGCUCCAAGUUGAAAAAAAUAAAUUACAGGCGAAAAAGGGGCUUAGAGGGAAGAAUGGAUAAAAAGGUUCAAGCACUCAGACAAGAAAUAGAUGAAUGGAAGAAUCUUUUCUGAUCUCAACAUUACAUAGUCAUCCACCAAUUGUGAGUUAGCCUAACUUUUGAAAAAAAAUAGACAAUUACAAGCUAUGAUGCACGAAAAAGACGAAGCACUCAUCGAAACACAAAAGCACAUCCAAAUACUCAAUGGGGUAAUGUUUGAAAUUGAAACACAAAUGGGUGUUAUUGAUAAAGAAUGUGAGCAAACAAAUCAGGCAUAUAUGAGAAAGCACAACAAGUUGGAGUGCUUGCUUAAUCAUAUUACAAUGGCUACUUAUAAAGUUCAGGACAUGGUAGAAAAAGUUGAAGAAUGGAAGAUAAGGGUGCCACCAGUGUGAGCACAUGGCCAAGAGCUACAAGUUUUUCUUAAUGAAGUGCAAGGCCAAUGUCAACAAUUAGGGAUUUCUUUCCAUAAUAAACUUUAGACUUCUUAUGCAUAUAAUAUUGAAUUUGGUUAGAAAUAACUUUCAAUUCAAUAAAGAUUUUCUUUGUUAACAAUUGGCAUAUGGUAAAUCCUCUUUAUUGCAUUCAUGCAUUCAUGCAUUCAUGCAUUCAUACAUUCAUAUAUAAACAUCUCUCUAAAAUGCAUGAUAAUAAGUCAUCUUAAUUUUUUAAAAAAAAAUUUAUGGUAAAUCAAAGUUCAAGGAUAACUCAAUUUUCAAACAAUCUAAGGUGUUAUAAUACUAGAUAUUAGGCAAGGAUCAUAGAAGAAAAAAAAUACUAUUCACCUCUAAAAGCUAAAAAAGUCACAAAAAAAACUAAAAGGGUAAUUGAAAACUAUUACCGAAUUAUUGAAAAAUAUGAGCAAAAGAAAGAAAGUGGUGGAAGAGAUGGUGAUACAAAAUGAGAUUAAUCCAUUAUAUCCCCAUGGUUUUGGCCCAUAUUCAGCACAUGCAUCCCAAGGGGCCCAACAUAAAUACCAUUCACUACAAGUUAUCCUUAUAUGGAAACUGACAUGCUGAUAACUGCUACUCAUGCUUUCAUUCCCCUAAUUCUUGACAUUAAGACAUCGAUCCUACACAAGUUUCAAAUCUUAAUGAUCUCCAGCAAUAAAAAAAGUUAAAGGUAGGCUCUGUUGAAACUAAAAAAAGCUCUGAUUUUUAAAAAAUAAAUCUCAUAGAAGAGAGGCUUAGAGCCAUUGAAUCUUUUAUGGGUCAAUGAAUGCUACUGGAUUAUGCCUAGUUCCUGAUGCCGUGAUUCUACUAAAGUUUAAAGUGCCUAAGUUCAAAAAAUAUGAUGGGACCAAAUGUUUUAUCAUGCAUAUUACGAUGUAUUGUCACAAGAUGGCUACAUAUACUCAUAAUAAAAAGUUGUUCAUCCAUGUUUUUCAAGAUAAUUUUAUUGGUUUAGAUGCUAAGUGAUAUAUGCAACUGGAUAGAUCUUGCAUUCAUAGAUAGGGGAACUUACAAGGGCUUUUAUUACAUAAUACGAACACAUUAUAGAUUUGAAACUAGAUUGCAUGUCUCUAAAUAGCAUAAAAAAAAAAAGGAUACUAAAAGUUUAAAAGAAUAUGCCUUAAAAUGAAGGGAUAUUGUUGCCCAAAUUUAACCACUGCUCAUUGAAAAGUAAAUCACAAUCCUGUUUGUCAAUGCUCUCAAAGCUCUUACUAUGAAAAGAUGAUUAGAAAUGCUACUAAAAAUUUCAAUGAUAUAGUAAUUUAUGAAGAGAUCAUUGAAAAUGUCAUUAAGAAUGGAAAACUUGAAGGUGGUAAUGCAAAGAAAUAGACUAUGCUAAAAAAGAAAGAAGAAGAUACUUAAGCUAUAAUUCAUGAAGGGCAACAAGUUGGAGGCUUCAAGCCAUAUUCUCCUUACCCAAUGUACCAACCUUACUAUUUAACCAACAACAAUGUCUCUUCAAGUCUUUAUACUCAUCAACUAGUCAUACAAUCACCUAACUUUCGACCAGUUACUCAACUUAAAAAUUGGGUGACAAAAGAAAGAGCUUUUAUAUAUCCAAUUCCUAUCACAUACACCAAGUUACUCCCUCAACUCAUUGAGAAUAAUUUGGUCACACCAAUUUAUUCAAAACCUAUAAAGCCUCUCUACCUCAAGUGAUAUGAUUCUAAUGUUAUUUAUGACUAUCAUCCUAGGAUUGCUGGCCAUUUUACAAAAAAUUACAUAGCAUUGAAGUAUAAAAUGUAAAGUUUGGUCAAAAAUGAAUUAGUGAAUUUUUAUCAAAAAGUAGGAACAUGUGCCAUUAAGAACCUUUCGCUUAACCACAUUUGGGUAUAAUUUUGAAAAAGUUUUUAUAAAUGCUUGGCACUUUAGGAACUUUAAGAAAUAAUACAAGUUUGGAACAUUUGAGUCUUUUAUGUUAAUCUUUUAUUUAUUUUUCAUAAUUUUCAUAAAAUGACAUAUGCAUUUUCAUUACAUUUCCUCAUUUGUUUCAUUGCUUUUAUAUACAUGCCUUUCAUAUUUCACCUACUCUCAUGUUCUAAAUGAUGAAUGUUCAGACACUCAUGACAAUAAUUCAGGAUUCGAUUUUGAAAGCAUCAUUCAUAUUGACGGAAUUGAUAAGUUAAGACUCUUAAUCUAUUAGGAUCAUUAAAGUAAAAGAUAACAGGUUUCAUAAAAUGAAACUAGCAUGGGAUUUCACUUAUUCACAUACAAAAGUGAUGUAGUGUGAGAUUUUUUAUGAUGGUUCACUCACAAGUUUGUUCUUAGUCAAUAAUUAUUUUUUAUUGAGCGUAUUCAUAUUUGAAAUGAGAAAUUGACAUCUUUCUUCUACCCUUCACACAACAAGUAAAAUUAUCCAUUUACUAUCCCAUUUAAGCCUAUUGAAUUUUCUUUGAAAGAAACCCUAACCAAUGAUCACACUCCACACUAGGGGUAAAGUUUGAAAAAAGUUUGAUCACAAAGAGAAAAAUAAUAAAAAAAAUGAAGGCCCCUAAUGACUUCAAAGGUAAAAAAAAAAAAAAAAAAAAAACCUCUUUGGUGCUCAAAUCUUUCCUGAAAAAGGAUGUAAAGUGUAAAUCAAAAAAAUUAAAAAAAAAGGAAAAAAAAAGAGAUAAUUGAUGAAGAAUGGGGCAAAAAACCAAGUUGCUCCAUAUGAUAAUAAAUGAUUUUUUGGUUUAUGACCCUUCAAAUUAAUUUUGGGCCUACUUUAUUCAUUUCCUUCAUAAUCCCCCAUCUUAGCCUAUAUUACAUCCUUUAAAAUUUUUUUUUUGAUUGAAUGUGAAUGCCCAAAGUGAAAAACCAUAAAUUGAACUAAAACAAACUUGUAAUGGGAAUAUUGAAAAUUUUGAUCGAAAUGUCACUAAUGGAUUAAAGGAAAAAAAGGGAAAGGGUAUGCAAAAUAAAAGCAAAAAAGCAAAACAAAAAAAUUGAAAAAACAAAAAAAUGAAAAAUGAAGAAGAACAUAAACUUAAAGUGAAAACCUAAAAGGAUGGUUUAAGUAAUAAAAAGGAAACUUGAAAAAACAACUUUGAUUAGGAUCUCUAAGAAAUAGGGAUAAUGCUUGAAUUGAUGAAAGAUCAAGAAUAUCAAUGGAAUGCACUUUUGAAAAAGAAUUCAGAAUUAAUUUAUCUAGAAUUGUCUGAAUAUUCAUUAUCUUCGUUGUUGCGUACCUUUCUCAACAUUUAUCUUGAUGAUUCAUUCUGAAAUGAUUUUUUUACCUAUUUAAUCUUUACCAGAGUUGUUCUUCUAAUGAAUACCCUUUCUUUGAUUUUUUUUUGUUCUUCACCAUUUAUUUCAUCCCAUGAUGAAUUAAAGAAAUGUGAUAGAUUACAUUUGGCAUUGAAUUAAAAUAAUGACGAAUGAAUGAAUAAAUAAAUAAUUGUUAUGAAAUAUCCUUGCAUUAUUUCGAAGUGAUUGGGGCAUAUUAAAAAUGAAAUGUGAAAGACAAAAAAAGUUUAAAAUGAUGUUGAUCUUUAUGGCUUACAAAUGAAAAAAAAAAUUUCAAAUGUUGAAAUCAAAUGAUGAAGCUAAUGAAAAUGAAUUUUGGGUCACAAAACAGUUGAUACAUUUGUUGGCCUGUUUAAAAAAAGCUGAAGAAAAACAUGAUGAAAAGCUAAAAAAAAGACAUGGAGAAAAGUCUUGAGAUCCCAUUGAAAUAAGGAAAUUUUGGAUAUGGAUGAUAUAAUGGAUAUGACUACUUUAUGAUGCAUGAUAACUCAUGUUGAAAACCACAAGUGUUGAUGAGUUAAAAAGAGUGAGAAGAUAAAUCCAGAGUUUUGAGAACCCUCUGAUUUACCAUAAUUGAAAAGAUAAAUGAAUUGCAUAUCAUACAUUGCAUUCACCACAUGCAUUACAAGCAUGCAUCAUACUGAGAAUAUUUCACUCAUUCAUGGCAUUCAUCAUGCAUAUUUGAAGAAAAAAAGUCUAAAGUUUGAAAUUUGGUAGGAAUUUUGCAUUCAUUUGUUGUAUUCAUUCCAUUCAUUACAUGUUGCAUAUAUCAUCGUGUUUAUUGCACUCAUGCACUUCAUGUUUGGAAAAGAAAAUAAAAGUUUAAAUUGUGAAAUUAGGAUAGAAUUUUGAAAAAUCUUUGGCUCAUGCAUUCAUUGUAUGCAUACUUUGUGUUCAUCAUAUUCAUCCCAUACAUCAUGCAUGUUUGAAAAAAAGAAAAAUUAAAGUUUGAAUCUUGAAAUUGAAUUUGAGAAUUGUGGAGAAUCUUUUCAUUCAUUGUAUAUGUUUGAAAAGAAGAAAGGAAAAACUAGAUAAGAAAAUAAUUUUGAGAAAAGAUAUUGGAAGGCAAUUAAUGAUAAUUUAGACAAGAUGCAAAAACUCAAUUUAAGGUAAGAUAUUUUAAAGUUUCAAUGCCUCUAUCAAAGAAGAGCUUUUUCAAACAUAAGAAUGAUUUCAUUUUAUUUUUCAAAAGUUUCAAAGCCUCAAUUGUGGGGAAAUAUUUUACUUUUCCAAAGUUUAAAAGCCUCAAUUAUGAAGGAGCAUUUUACUUUUUCAAAGUUCCAAAGCCUUAGUUGUGGAGAGCAUUUUAUUUUUCAAAGUUUCAAAGCCUCAAUUGUGGGCAAGCAUUAAAUGUUUCAAAGCCUCACUUGUUGGGAAGCAUUUUAUUUUCAAAAGUUUCAAAGCCUUAAUUUUGGAAAAGCAUUUUAUUUUUCAAAAGUUCCAAAGCCUCAAUUGUGAUGGAGCAUUUUUCAAAAAAAAAUUUCAAACCUCUAAAAGGGAGCCUUUGCAAUUUUUUUUUUUAUUUUUCUUGACUCAAUCAACAUGAAUGUCUUUUGUUUCUGUAUAAUUUCCGUUUCACAAAAAAUGCAAAAAAAUGGGCAAUCGUAAACACCUUAUUUUGUUUGAGAAUUUUUUGAAAUUAAUUGGGCUUCAAAUUUUGAUUUUGAUUAUGUAAUUGGGUCUUAAUUGAAAAAGUAAAUUUUUGAUCUAAAGAUUAAGUUCUAAAUUUUAUUUGUAUUAUAAUUUUUUAGUUUAAUUUUUAUUUUUUUAGUCAAAAGAGUUCAAGUCAAUUAAUAAAAACAAAAAAAGGUAAAAAAAUUUUUUUAAAAAAAAGAGACUUUGCAUGAAAAAUUUUGGAUUCAAUUCAACUCUUAAAUUCUAUCUCAGAUUUUAAUUACCCUCAAUCUAUUGAAAAAGAAAAGAUUACAUAGAGAAUAAAAUUUGGAAAGAAAUCAUAGAUUUAGUUGAAUUAGUUUCUUCUAAAUCGAAAGGAAUUCAAUCCAUAUUCAAAGACCUUAAAUUUAUGAUCAAAGUGAGGGCCUCACAGUAAUUCACUUAAAGAUCAAACAGAGGUCCUUAAAUGAGAGAAAUUUUGAGAAAAAUUUUGAAUCAAUGAGGAAAAAACAAUCAAGCAAAAAAUUGCAAGAAUAUUCAAUUAGAGUUUUUGAAAGGAAAGUUAAGAUUUACAGUAAGAAGUAUCAGUUUUUGAAAAGUCAAAAGUUAUUGAAACCUAUGAUCCAUUGAGGUAAUAUUGGCUUUCAUUUUUUUUUUUUUUUUGUGAUUUUUGCAUAACUUUUAUAAUAUAUAAUUACUUACUCUUAUUUUUAUAUUUAUUACAUGGUAUUUAUUUUUGCAUGAAUUUGCAUAACUAAUAUUAUAUUUACAUGAUAAUUUAUAUGCCUAAUAUAUUUAUUUACAUGAUUUAUUUAAUUACAUAAUUAUUAAUAUAUUUAUUUGCAUGAUUACUUAAUAUAUUUGUGUGUGACUAAAUGUUAUUAAUAUAUUUAUUUGCAUGUAAUAUGUUUAUUUGUAUGAUUUAUUAACACAUUUGCAUGAUUGUUAAUGUAUUUAUUUGUAUGAUUAUAUUAAUUUGAUUGCAUGAUUAUUAAUAUAUUUAUUUAUAUGAUUAUAUUUCAUUUUAUUGCAUGAUUAAUAUUAUAUUUGAAUAAUAUUUAAUUACAUGUUUCUAUAUUUAUUGUGUGCAUAAUUGCAUGAUUAUAUAUAAUUACUAAUAUAUUUGUGUGAUUAAAUUUGAUUUCAUAAUUAUAUAUUUGCAUGGUAUUUUAUAUUAUUACAUAAUAAUUAAUAUAUUUACAUAAUAUUAUAUAUUUACAUUAUUAUUAUUAUUGCAUGAUAAUUAAUAUAUUUAUAUGACAUUCUUACAUGAAUAUUUUUACAUGAUCUAGAUAUGAUAUUAUUACAUGAUAUUUUGUAUGAUUUAUAAUAUAUUUGCAUAAUAAUUUUUACAUACUAUGAUUUAAUAUUUAUUGCAUAAUUAAAUGACUAUUUGAUAUUUAGAUAAAUUUUUUGUACCAUCAUGUUUAUAAAUAAAUAAAAUGAUUGAAAUUGAUUUUGAUUUACAUAAUAAAACCAUAUUUGAUUAUGGUUUAGGCAAGAUAACACAAUUAAUUUGAUAUCAAUUUUGAGCAUAAAAUGAUGCUAAUACAUUAUCUGCAUAUAAUCGACUCUUGAACUUUAAUCGUAUUGAUGUAGAUCAAAAUCUAUUCUUUUUAAAGACUUUCAGCUUAGUCUUAGAAUAAUAUUAUAAAAAAUUUUACAUAACUGACCAAUCACAUCUAGUUAAAAAAAUUGAUAACAACUUUAUAGUUUUUAUAUCUAAUGGAUAAAUUUUUCAACCUAGACGUUAUGACAAUUAUAACUAUUUGAACUAUUACAAUAAAUAAAUUUAUUUUUUUAAUAUCUUACUAAUUUUUGAAAAAAAAUUAAUUUUCUUUUAUUUCGAUUAAACCUGUAUAAUAAAAAACAAGUACUUUAUGACAAAAUAAAAAAUAAUAACAAUUUAAAAUAAUUAAUUAUUUGAAUAAUCAUAAUUAUUUAAACUAUUUAAGUAAAAAAAUUUAUUUUUUGAGUUAUUUUUCUCUUAAUUUUUGAAAUAUUAAUAAAUUAAUAUAAUUUUAUUUCAAAUAAACUUUUAUGAAAAAAAAACAAUUAAUUCAUGAUAAAACAAAAAAAUAAUAAUACUUUAAAAUAAAUAAUUAUUGAAAUAUUUAUAAUUUUUUUACAUUUAUUCAAUAAAUAUCUUAUUUAAUAAUUAUUGAAAUAUUAAAAAAAUUAAAUUAUUUUAUUUUAAAUAAAUUUGUAUGAAAAAAAUAAUUAUUUAUAAGUAAGCUAAAAUUAUAGUGAUUUAAAAUUGAUAUUUGUUCAUUUAUUCAUAAAUAUUUAAAUUUAUUCGUAAAUGAAUUUAUUUUUAAAAUUUUAUUUAUUAAUUUUAAAAUAUUAUUAAAUUAAUAUUAUUUUAUUUUGAAUAAAUUUGUAUAUGCAGUAUUUUUUUUGUUUUUGUUUUUGCAAAAUAAAAGGUACGAGGGCUUCGGUUUUGGCUUUUCCUUUGAAAAUUUUUAGGUGGGCAGAAAAUAGAAGAAAAUGAAGCAACUUCUGGGUAGUUUGGGGUUCUCAAGGCGACAGAAUAAGAUGGAUGGGAGAUGGGUAAUCUGAAACUUUAACUUUAGAUCCAGGGCAAUUUAGGUGUUUCCAAACAACAUCAAUCAAGCAAUCAACACAGGGGAACAAGGAGAAGGAAGCAAUUCGGCAGUAAACAUUCAAGCAAUCCAACAGCAACAGCAAGCCCAGAAGCUCAAUCACCCAUACCCAGAAACCUAAAGUCAACACAGAAGCAAUAAACCCAAACAACCCAGAAACAAACCCAGCAACCACAAUUGACCGAUGCCAAGCAGAGAAACCCACAGAAAAUCAAACACAAACCUAGAAGCAAACAACCCAGAAGCAACCAAAAAUUAGCAAGCACCAGUACAGUAACUACAGAAUCAAACGCAAUCAUUCAGUAAAAGUAAGGGCUUCACUUUUGGCUUUUCCUUUGAAAAUUAUUGGGCGGGCAAAACAUAGACUAACCCCAUUCAACGCAUCUGCAUCAUCCAAAGACUAACCUCAUUGCAAUCAACACAGCCACAGAAAAAAAAAAAUCAAAACCAACCACAUCCCCUGGAAGGGAACACAGUUCCAAAAACCAAAAAUACAAAAAAAAAAAAAAGAAAAGCCUAAAUAACAAGAUGAAGGCGGUAGUUUCGUUCCUGGGAAUUUUUGGAGGUCAUAGGCGUUAUGAGGGAGGCCUCUUCGGGCUUGUAGGACAACAGAGACAAAGAGGGUUUUCUGGGACAAAGAGGGUUUUCUGGGCCGUAAACAGAAGCUGCGGCAAUGACAGGCGUGAAGGCCGGCGGCGGCGGCAAGAAGCCUUUAGACGAUCGGGAACAGUGGAAAGAAAGGGGAAAAGCAGGACAACAAUAUACUAAAAUUACAGAAGGAUCGAACGGUGCGAUGGGGUGUUUCUGCGGUUGGAAGUUUCGGGAUUUGUCCCAGAUCUACGAGUUUAGAGGCAUGUUUUUGAAAAUCCGAGCUCGGAUCUGUAACAAGGACGUUGAUUAUAAGUGAAUAUUUGGGGCCCAAAAGGCACCGGAAGCCGGUGAACGGCGGGGCCAGCAGUAUCACCGGUAACGCAGAGUCGGCCGGAAAUCGCCUAAGGGAGAAGUAUGAUGCUUUCCUUUGUGUCUUUUCUUUUUUUUGUUAGAGUGAAAUGAACUUAGGCCAAAAAAAGGUGCAUUUUAUAGUGUUUUUUAAGUCAAAUCCGACCCGAACCGGCCUGCCCCAUCUUGGAUUCUAAGCCGAUCAUAUCCAAUUAUCUACACCAUUCAACCCCUUGGGCUCCAAUAUGGGCUUAGUCCAACCCUUUUGAGGCCUAUUUUAAUUUCAUUUAUCUAUUUGCUUACUAGUUUAUUUAUUACUUAUUUGUCUAUUUUCAUAUGUAAUUUUAGUUUUUAAAUAAAUUUGUUUGUGGAUGACUAAUGAAAGAAGAUUUUAAAAAUAAAAUAUGUGAUAAUAUUUUUAAAUAAAAAUAAUUUAAAAAUCCUCUCUAGAUAUUGAAAAGAAUUCAAAUAUUUAUUAAGAUAAUAUUUUAAAAUAUUAUCUUUAUUAAAAAAAUUAUUAUGAUGCAAAACUUUUAAAAUAAAUAAUAAAUUCUCUUAAAUUUCACUUAGAUAUUGAAAAAUUAAGCAAACCUUUUAUUAUUGAAGGUUUUAUCAAAGAAAUAACGGUAUGAAGUAUAAAAAGUUGUGAAAAAAAAAAAUUAAUUCACUACAUUGUGUGAUUUUUAUUCACGUCAUUUAUUUCACAUGUCAUUGCAUACAUGAUAUUUGUUGGUAGCAAACGUGAAAUGAUAUGGUAACAAUUUCAAAAAUAAAAUUUGAAGACCUUGCUAAGAUUUUGAAGGGAAUUCAAUCAUUAUUUUUACUAUGGCAUCACAUAUUUAUAAAGUUUGAUUAUUUAAUCAUUAAAAAAUUUUAUUUAUUAAAAAUUUUUAUCUAUUAAGUAUAUUGAUCUCUAAAUAAACUUAAUCGUCGAGUAAUUUAUAACCAAUAAAAUUUUAUUGAAAUUCAUACUAAUUUUUCACUUAAAAUUUGGAUUAAUAUCUAAUAAUUUUCGUAUUCAUACAAAUUCAUUUAAUUACCUUAUAAGAUUUUUGAAUGUAUAUUAUCUCAAUCUUAUCUAACAUUCAUAAUUCUCAAAUUAAAAAAUUAACAUACUUCAAUAUAAAAGUAUAUAUUUAGAAAUCUCAAUUUCCAAAAAUUUUGUUUUAAUUCUUUUCGAACAAUCUUGUUGAUUAUGAGGUAACUCCAACGUUUAGCUUUCUUAAGAAUUAUCCAGCCAUCAAAAUCAUUUCAGUAUACCUUGCAUCAACGCUAAACUAAUAUCCGUGUGCAAACUUGUGAACCAGCUAACAAGAACACUUUCUUACGGCAACUAAUGACAUGUCAUAAGGAUAUCCAUAUCCUUUUAAGAAAAAAAAUCUACAUAUUUUCAAAAGAUACACUAUGAGCUAUGUUUGGAGUUAUUAACCGAACCUACUCCUGACAAAUUUCUAUUAACGUGCCCAGAUUGUUCACACGUCAAGCAAGCUUGGCUAAAAGUGAUUGAUUUGCCUUUCAAUUGUGGUAUCCAAAACAAUUCUCACUUAUCAAUGCUACGGUGUUCUGUCCUGUGCCUUAAACUUGAUAAAAUAACCCAUAAAAAUUAAAAGUAAUGACUAGGUAAGUUCCUAAGAAAGAAAGAUUAGUCUCCAACCUUUUUAGACUGUACCUACCUAUUCACACUACUACACCAAACUCCAAAGUAAAAUGAACGUUUGACUCUGAUACACUUUAUUGAGAAUCUAGUGGUGCCAAAUUCAUCACUUUGUUGGUUAGGAAUACACACACAAAACUACCAUCUUUUUCAUAUAAAUGACCAAUGGCAUAUAUUUUACAGAAUUACAUACCGUCAAGAUUUACUUUCACAGAAAAUAGCAAACAACAACAAAAAACAAGAGAAAAAAAAUACAACACAAGAAUUUACGUGAAAACUCUUAAGACUGAAAAAAAAAUCACGAGCCACUAAAACU
rnacentral:lncRNA from 1 species